ACAUCCUUGGUGGGACGGAGCAGGAAGGCUGGAGAUUUCAUCAAGCUACUCACAGCAGCAUGCCAUUUAAAAUUCAUGAAUUAUUUAUUUCUGGAAUUUUCCGUUUAAUAUUUUUGGACCACAAUUGACCUCAGAUUUUACUUUCUACUCUUGUCAGUCAUAUCUGCAAGGCUGACAGUUACCAGGGGCUGUGGCCAGGCAUGAGGGAGAAUGUGUCAUUGCUGGCUGCGUUGGUCAUAGCAACGUGUCUGCCUCAGAACAGAUCCAGCAUGGAUGAGCAAACAGAAAAAUGUGUAAGAAGGCUUGUGACUGAAACAGACCAAGGCAGACACUUGAAGAAGCAUCUUUCUUGUGAUCUCCUGGCUGGUACCCUGAAGUCCUGUUAUGCCAAUGGACCAGCAACCCUCGCAGGUGGCUAAGGAACAAGCAGGCCCGCUGUGUUUCAGUGGCUUUCAGAGAAGGUGGCGGGAAAUAGUCUCUUCUCAGCAGCAGCUGAAUCCCAGUGUUAGCAGACGGAGCCUUGUUUCUUGAAAGUACAUUCCCAGGGAUUCCCUUGAAGAAUGUGAGAGAUCAGCUGGAAUGAAACUGGAUGUUUUAGGGUCCUGAGGGAAAUGUAAAUCCAGCAGCUUAUUCUCAAGAUGUGGCUCCAGAACCAGCAGCACUGAUUCUUCUAAAGAGUUGAGAGUGCAUUUUAGCUGUGAUAUCUUUGUACUCUUAAGAAAUCCUCCUCAACAAGACAAAACUUGACCAAGAGCAUUCAGUUGUCUUCCAGAAGGCUCCCUUGAGGACUGGGACUCUUCCUGGAUGCACCCAAUUAAUCUAUUGAAACAAGGACUCGUGAUGGCAGCCCCUCACCUGACAAACUGGAUUUUCCCCAGAGAUCAUUUGUAAUGUUUUUCCUGAAUCUUAUUUGUGUUUCCCUAUUAGCAAUGUUAUGUAUUUCUAUAUCGCAAAUCCUAAGUGCCGCCUGUAGAACCUAACCUCCAUUUAUAGCAUGGAACACACAGCCCAUCACGUAUCCUUGCCCUGGCCUUCAGCCUCUGAAUAUUUUAAUAAAAAUCACUCUUUCCUCCUUAAGGACCAUGUUCUUUAAAAGCUUAACACAUAGUUCUUAAUAAUUGGUUGCUUUACUUGAUGUUUCUCUGUUUAUCUUGGCUGCCCAGAAGCUCAGACUUAAAUGUAAGAGUCUACUUACAGUAACAACCUUGUUGCGGAUACAAUUAAUUCUCCCUAUCUUGUAUGUGGUUUCCGUUGUCUUUAUUUAUUAUCUUUAUUUAAACCUUUAAAAGAGUAUAGGAUAUCAAUUUAUGAAAAGAAAAAUAUUUUUUUUAGUUCAAUUGAAAUCCCUGUUUUGUACCACACUAUAUUUAAUGCCCCAUAUAGUUCUAAAACUCUGCAUGAUUCAAAGCAGGGGUUCUUAUUCUGGCGUGUGUGUGUGUGUGUGUGUGUGUGUGUGUGUGUGUCUGUAUGUACAUACCUCAAGGGAGUCUCUAAUUUAUAUAUAUAAUUUAUAUGUAUAUAUACACACAUAUAUGCACACACACACACACACAUAUAUAUACUUUAUAUGUAACAUAUAUAUUAAAUAUUAUAUAUGUGUAUACAUACUACACAUAUAUAUACACAUAGUGUUUGUGUGUGUGUGUGUGUGUGCACUUUUGGAGAGAGAGCAUCUCUAACUUUCAUUAGUUUAUGCAAAGAAUUUAUGACCCUUCUCUUGCCCCACCCCCAGACCCAAAGUUAAAAAUUACUGGUUUAAAGGGACCUGGAAGUAAAUAUCCAAGAAUAGGAAUGCACACAGCUCCGCCUUCAAGUCUUCCUCCCCAGUCAGUAAACAUCAUUGUCAUUUAUUUUUGGCCUCUUUUAGGAAUCGUUCUUCUGACCAAGCAAGUAGAUGAAUUGCUAUAUAUGGAGCCAGUUCAAAGCAAGGCACAACUCGCUGGUUUUAGAUACCAAAGAAGUCCUACAGUUCAAUUAUGACCUGGGGGAGGUCAGAGCUCGGCAGGUGAAUCUUGCUUCUGAAUGAAGCUGAGGCAGAGGGAGCCGACUUGCUUCACCCUUUCCCUCACUGGUUUCCCCCAGGGAGGCCUGGGUAACAGGCAGGGUGCAGCUCCUAGGCACAAAGAUGCCUACUGAUUGUGCUGGGCCAGGCUGUGGAUGGGAGUUGAUGGGGCAGCGAGAUGCUGGGCUAGAGGCAGCAGUGGGCACCCAUGACACUCAGGGAGCUGGAUGUCAAGCCACGGAAAUGAAAUCUACCAGAGUAUCAAUGAGUCACAGCUGCAGCAUGUUCUGAGUCCAUGCACAGUGCUGUUGCCAGGAGACCCAAGACAGUGUUUUCCAAAGAUGCUUAAAGCAAGUCUCCUGAGCUGGCUAAGGAUGCACCAUAGGGUAAGCGGCACAGAGCACAUGCGCCAUCACUUUCCUCCUCCUCUCCAACCAGAGAAGUACAGCAAUGAUCUGCUUAAUAGUAAGACAUGUGACAGCAACAAGUACACACUAAGUCACUAUUCCUCUUGUUUCCCUGUAAGGGGAACUUGGCAGUUUUUACAUUUCUGUCCCCUCAUUCCCUCCUCUCCAGAGGAGGAGUGGCUUCCCUGAUUGGGGAACUUGGGAGCGACGCUUGAGAAUGUGGGCUCAGUCUCCUCCUCUGCCCUCGAGCUUUGGGAACAGCCUGCCUCAGAGGCCAUGUAUUCUGGUCUGUUUGAUUCCUUUGUACUGUAGUUUUCCCUGAGAGGACUCCUUCAUAGGAGACUUCUAGCUGUCCAGCACUGCUGUGGAUACGCUUAAUUUGGGGAUGUAAUGCUGGCAUGCUCAUUUGGUCCUCACAUCUAAGUCACAGUCUCCAGUAGCUUUACCAGUAAUGAUACUGACGUUUUGAUCUCCACUUCUUUCUAUUGGUUCUGAACAUAGGCCAGUAAGGCAGGAAUGCUUUGUAUUGGUCUUUUAAAAUUCCAACAAUUUCUUCUGAAGAAAGGGCUCUCCUAGUUUGAAAAAUCUUAAGACAAUCUGAUCUCAGGCCCUGUGGGUGGUUAACAAUAUUUAGGGUCAUAAAAGCUGGUUAACAUCAGCAGGCAAGAGAUCUUGGAGAAAUGAAGGGACAGAAGUGGAGCAGACAAGGAAAGGGUCACCCUACCCCAGCAGUCACAGAAGUCACCAAACUUCACCAACAUGAUCUUCCAGCUUGAGCUGCCUCUCCAUGUCCUCUCUCCCCGGCCAGAUCUGAUUCAGAGAGUGCCUGGGCCAAUGAACAUCUAACUGAUAUAUUGAACAAAUAGAGUUUAAUCUGGUAUGAUCAUGAAGUCAUGUUUUUCUCAUCACUGCUCCAGCGAAUGCCAUCUUGGCUCCUUUCUGCUGACUCUUGCCUUUGAAUGAAAUCUCACAAAGACAUCCUCGUUUUGGUUAUUCUUAGACAAUAAUGGAAAAGUCCUCUAGUUACAUCUAGCCACAAAAAAUAUAUAUCUUAUUUGAAAUUAAAAUGUCCAGGCCCAUGUAAUAGUCACAUUUAGAGUAGAAACCCUGUUAUCCUCCAUGCAGGCUGGCUUUCUCCUAGAAACUUGUAUGAAGUCAGGGAGGGGAGGCAUACCUACUUUCUGUAUUUCUACGGAGCAUGUUUACCAUUCUCCUUUACUUACUAGGUUGUCUUGGAUGACCCAGGGCUGAGGCAGGGGAACAAGAAGAGAUAGGGAAAGUUCUUGCUGGAUGGUCUGGUGCUGGUCUCCUCUGGCUAUGGGUCCUUAAGAGGUUCUUUUGCUGGGUCCCACUAACUACAGCUUCUAGCCUUUUCGGCUGAGGUCACUAUACUAUUUCCAGAACGUACCCCUGAGUGGGGUCACCUUUUAAAUGACCCAAGUUGACAGUCCUACUACGAGUUACACAUCUUGGAGUCACAUGCCAGUGGCCUGGCAUUUAAAUCAGAGGAGGCUUCAGCUAACAUCCUCUUGCGACUAGUGGCAAAGGGUUGGUGGCCUGGGUGUGGCUGGCUGCUAGAGUGUGGAGCUGGCAGAGGUUUUGCUGGUGAGAUGCUGCCGGGGUUUUGGAGGAGGAAGUGGGUGGAAAUGUGGGCCUUGCCCUCUCUCAGCCUGUGACAGCCUCUCUCUUUCCUGCUCCUGUUCCUUGCUGUUGGUUGCCCACUUUUCCCUUGCAUCUCUCAGGCCUUGCCUUCUUCUUUGCAGUCACAGCAUCCACGUCAUCUUUUCCUUUUUUUAUAGGAUUUUUGGCUUCAUAGAGAGGCUUGGUGGUACCAGCCUCUCUGUUAUUUUUGUUCUAAGCCAGCCACAUCUUCCCCUUUCACUUGCUAGACUGAGAGUAUUCUGGGUGACUUUGAAUUGAGCAGAGGUUGCCUUGGCAAUCUGUGUACCCAGGGAUAUUGAUUGGGACUUCAGGAAGUUCAUGUGAGCUGACAUGCAGACAUAAGAAAGGGUCUACUGGGCAGAAGGAGCCAGGGCAGGACAGAAGCUACCAAGAGGAAGGGAGAAGGGAGGAGCUGCCUUAGAGAAACACAGGAUCUGCCUGCCAGGAGUUCACAGGGUUCAGCAAAUGGCCCAAUUGUGAUAGACAAGAAUUACACAGAGGGAGUAAGUUCUAAAGCAUUUAAACAUUCCAAGCAAAACAAUAAGGGCUGUGAAUAUCGACUCAAUAAUCCUUCCUAUUCUAGGAUUUUGGAAAAACCCAUUUUACGAAUUCCCUACAAAAAGUUUCCAAAUCACUCAGAGAAUAGUGUAUUUGCCUGAAAAACAUCCAGACAUUCCUUAUCAGCAGGCUUAUGCUGCCAGCAGUGGUAACACUGUGCUUUCCCCUAAGAUGUGCAAGGUUAUGAGCCAUGGAACAGAUGUUUGCGGUUUAUGACUACCUCUGCUUAAGCCUGAUUUCUUAAACAAGUAGUAUCUUUCAGGUGCCUUCUAAUAUGCACUGACUGCAUUUGCUGGAGGCCUCUGUCUUAACACAGUCUCUUAAUUCCCCUUCCUUUUGACUGUGUGGUUCCAGGAAUGCUUGGAUUUUAGUAAAAUCCUGGCCUUUGAUUAGGGCUGAAACUGUGCCUACUGCCCUAAUGGUACAUGGCAAAUUAAAUAUCCCCCAACUUGGGUUUUGAUGUGUUUGCUCUGAUGAACUUUUCUCAUUAUGGGUUGAUAUGGUUAGGCUUUGUGUCCUCACCCAAAUCUCAUCUUGAAUUGUAAUCCCCAUAAGCCCCAUGUGUCAAGGGAGAGACCAGGUGAAGGUAACUGAAUCAUGCGGGUGGUUUUCCCCAUGCGGUUCUCGUGAUGGUGAGUGAGUUCUUACGAGAUCUGAUGGUUUUGUAAGGGACUCUUCCUCCUUUGCUAGGCACUUCUCCUUCUUGCCACCUUGUGAAGAAGGUGUCUUGCUUUCUCUUCGCUUUCUACCAUGAUUGUAAGUUUCCUGAAGGCUCCCCAGCCAUGCUGAACGGUGAGUCAAUUAAACUUCUUUCCUUUAUAAAAUUUCCCAGUCUCGGGCAGUUCUUUAUAGCAGUGUGAGAAUGGAAUAAUACGUGCAUCGAAGGGCAAUUCACGUCCUUUCUCUCCUGGGUUGGAUUUCUGGAGCUAAACUCAGGUUUGCAGGAGUUAGCAUUACUUCUUCACCAUGGAAAAGAAAAACAAGGACAGGUGGUUGCAUAAAGGACCCAGUGAUUAAAUCGAAAGCACCUGUGAAAACUCAAAGUCAAUAUUUUCUUUAAAGGAAGGGAGUGUACACAAUCAUGGUUGUUUAAGUUAGCUACCAUAGCAGAAAUGACCUGAAUAUCAAUGAUUGGCUUCAGCUGCUCAGCACGUCCUUCGGGUCGAAAAGUUGGGCAGUGGCCUCUGCCAACUUGUUUUUAAUGAGAUAUCCUAAUAUUUUGAACAACAUUGCUAUGCUUCUAUUUCUACCUUAAUGAAAACAAUGAUAUCACUUAUACUUAUUAAGCACUAGCCAUGCAUCCAGCACAGAACUAAAUAUUUAUAUGGAUUAUCUUGAUUAAACUCCUCACAAUAACCCUAUGAAGUAGCUGCUAUUUUCACGAAUAGAUGAUAAAACAGAGGCUUAGAGACAAUCUGCCCACAGUCAUAUAGUUUGUAAUUGAGUCAACCCAUGGCUGUUGUGACUCCAAAGUCCAUGCUCUUACUUAGUAUUGCCUGCCUGUCUUCAUCAGUUGGGUAGAAGGUAACUUCUAAGUUUGUGUGUGUGUUGGUGGCAGGGGUUGGUGUUUUUUUUUUUUUUUCCCUUCCCAGGUGUUUGUUAUCACAAUGAUUUUCACAAUUCCAUGUCCUGUUCCUGUGCUCUCUGUGGUGUUGACUGCAUCAGUGGGAGCUUAGCUGGGGCACCUGAGUUCUCCUCCAGGUGUCCUCUGUGAGUGGUGUCUCAUCCUCCAGGGCAUCUCCACAUGGCUUCUCUCCAGCAGAACAGCCUAGUCUUCCUCACAACAUGGCAGCUGGGAUCCAAGAGGGAGCUUAACCAAGAAAACAAACCCCUUUUCCAAUUGCUUAUAUUAAGCCUCGCUUGCUAAAGUCUCAUUGGCCAAAUCAAGUCACAUGAUCAAGCCCAGAUUCAACGCAGGAGAGAACUUUACCAGGGGUAAAUAUCAGGAAGUGUCAUUCAUUGGCGAAGCCACAGUAGAACAGUCUAUCUCAUUAGUAAUAAUAGUAAUGAUAUCUUUCAUAUAUUGAGCACUUACCAUGUGCUAGUCAGUGUGUUAUAGGCUUUACAAAAUUAUUUUAAUCAUCAUAGUAACCCAACCUAUCAGCUUGGUUUUAUUCCCAUGUUAUAGGAGAGGAAACUGAAGCUCAGACUAACCUGAUAAAAUGACAAGAGUGAAUUCAAACACUGAUCAUUCUAAGUUCCCGAUCCAAGAGAUAGAAAUAUGGUAUACAGAAAAUGAAAAAAAAUUUUUUUUUCGUAUAAUGAUAGCCCUUGGAAUUCAUAAGGAAAAAAAUAAAGGUACUAGUCAAUGACUUUAAUGCUCAGUAGGUAGCAUGUUUAGGGGCCUUCCUGCCUCAAGACUAAUUCUCUUGUAUUUGCAGCCAGCCUUUCUAAUUCUGGUAUUUUGAAUGGAGAACAGUCAAUAAACAAAAUUGGGUAUAAUUAGGCUAAUCAAAAUGUGAAAUAAUAUAGUGUAACUUUUCUUUUAAUCAGCCUCUUGUUUUAUUCUUUGGCUAAAUGAGCUGGUCUUUCCUCUGGCUGUGUUUUCAAAAAGUUCUGCUCCAAACCAUUUGGCAAGCAGUGAGCUGGAGAAAGAACGAAGGGGAAGGGUCUAUACCCUAUAAUGAUGCAGAUUUCAAAACAUAGCUUGGAUUUUUGGAAAAUCCCUUCAUGAGCAUGAAAAAUACAACAACUAUGUUCAGAUGCUUUUGCCAGCUGAAAACCACCAUGACACUUGAGAUCAGUUGCAAACGUUCUCUCCUUCCCCACCAGCACCCAGGGCUGUGGUCCAGGCAGUGAACACAGUGUUUGGCCUGUCCCAGGCCUAAGGGUGUAUGAAGUGUGGGCAUUGUUGGGUGAGCUUGGCUGGGAGGGCAGUGCCUCAAUGCAAGGGAAUCAUGUGGAAAGAUUCAUGGAAAUUUAUAUUAAAAUAUGAUACCUCCAAAAAUAAUUUCUUGCAAGCAGCAAGAAUUAACGCAUUGUGAAACAAACAGAGCUUUCACUAUUAACUUCAGGGAAGAAAAAAAGGGAGGGUGGCUGGCUCAGUGGAAAAUAUCGGCUGUAAGCUGUGAUUUUUUUUUUCUUGCCUUUCCCAUGCUAGAUGGCACUAAUUGAAGAGCUCAGUUGUUUGGGGAGGGGGUUUUUGGAGGAAUGUAACAUGAUCACGUGAUUUUUGGUGCAUCGUGGGGUCCCUAUUUUAUUUUCACUGUUAACUCCACCAUUGUUUUGGUCUUUGAGGUAAUUUUAAAUUUUAAGCUGAUUGCAUGAUUUUUCUGGAAGUCAACACUCGGAGAAAAGGCUGAUUUGGAGGGCCUGCAGAAGUGCUGGGGUGGGUGUUGACAGAUCUGAGUGACAUUUGCAUGGUAUUUCCCUGUGUCACCCCACCCCUGCCACCCUUAAUCACCCUAGUGGCAGUGGUUUAAUGACACAGAGAUCCUGGAAAAGAGUGUUUCUCAACCAGUUUCUUUCAAAGGGAAGCCAUGGAGGAAGGAGCCAUUUUAUCUGAGCAAACAGCAAAUUCUUACAGGAGCUUGUAAUGGCUGUCCAUUCUCCCACUCCACCCCCCAAAAUAGAACUUGUGGUGUGAAAUGAGGACAGCAAAUGAUUCAUAUGUAGAUGGGUUUAUAAUUCAUUCUAGAAAUAAAGCUGAGCCUGUAAAUGACAUUCCAGGAAAAAUAAGAAAGAAUGAGUGGCUUUAAGGGUACACCAGACUGCUUAGGCCAAAAUUAAAAUAUUUGGUAGACUUAAAAUAAUUAUAUUUAUUUUUUUGAAAGGUAAUAUGUAAUUAAAAUUUCCUCUGUGGAAUAGUCACUUAAAAUAGGUUUGUAGUAUUCAUAUUGUGAAUUUAUGGAGGGAUUGUAUGCUUUGAUCUCAUCAAUGGUUCUAUAAAGAAGCUUUGACAUGUAAUGUUGAUAGUGACAGAACAGAGGCUCAGAUUCUGUCACUUUCCAAAGGUCACACAGGUUGUAAGUGACUUAAACUUGGAAAUUGUGUCUCUAAAGCUCAUUCUCUUUUCAUUAAGUUAUACAGCAUCUCACUCUAUAAGGCUGUGUAAUGAUGACAGUCAUGGACCUGCUCACUCAUGAUCUGGGUGGUGAAGAGUUUUGGAUUUAGAAUUAGAAGAGGUAAUUGGAUUAGAUUAGAGUCUCACCUGAUGUUACUUAGCUGGGUGACUUGAAGCACAUCACUAAAAUUGUCUGAACCUCAAUUUCAUUAUCCGUAAAUUUGAAGGAGAUAUCAUUUAUUUAUAGAGUUAAGACCAAAAAUCGUAAGUGUAAAAGUUCUCUGAAGAUGGUACAGUGCUCUACCAUGAUAUACUAUUUCUUAGGUACAAGCUAUUAUUUAUUAGGCACAGCAACAGACUAGGAGCUAGGAGAAAUUCAGAAGUCUUUUUUAUAGCCUGCCUGACAACCUCUUUAAUUAUUUUCCAUCUGCUCAAGAAGCUCCAAGCCCUGGCCACACUGAACUUUUUAAUUUAUCCUUUACACGAUUUGCUCUCUCAUAUCUCUGUGCUCGUGCGUAACACCCCUCUCCUAUGAUCUCCUAUGCAUCUUUCAGAGGCUCUUUUCAGCUCUAUUGGUAGUUUUCCUCUUCUAGGUGCCUAUGCAUUUUGUUCACAACUCUUAUGGCAUUUCCUACAGUGUGUUAUAAUUCAUCUGUUUAUAUAUAUGCUUCUGCUCCUUCCUAAGCUAUAAGCUUCUCAAGGAGACAUGCUGCCAUCUGUAUUAAGUGUGCCUGGUACAUAGUGGACAUCCAAAGGCUUGCUCAAUGAAUGCAUGACUAGAGGUGUAAGAAUUACUGUCCUGAUCCUCAUACACAUUACAACCUAAUCGAGGAUCAUGACAAAUAGACAUGAAACACUAGCAAAAUAAACAGGAAAAAGGAUUCUGUGAUGUAGGUGCAAACCCUUAGCAUUGCAUAAAUUCAGAGGAGCAGGAGACCUUUGAAAGCUAAAGGAAUCAGGGAAAGUUUCUGUAUGUGGAAUUGCUUAAUGAUAAGUGAUGAAUGGGGAAAUCAUUAAACCCACCAGAAUUCCUUCAGGGAGAAAAUCCUGUUAAUUUGGAAGGUACGUAGAUGCUAAAUACUCAAGGGAUCUGCUUCGGGGCAAAGCUGUACCAUAAGAGGAAGAGCAUUUAGCUAUUGUUCUAAGAGAUAAGGAUGAGGAAAGGGAGAGUGGAGGUGGAUUGAAGAUGAUGGCUGAAGACCACACACCCAGCAAAUCUCAAUGACAUUGACUAAAUCCUGAAGUGCUUGAACUGAAUGGAUUUUUUUAAAAAAGGAAACAAUGAAUGGACUCAAAUUAUCCAUUCCUUGUGAAUAUAGGAACGUGGAAACAAAGAGGGAACCAAGGCACAGCUAUUCAGAGAAUACGAGAUGGCCUUCUCAGGGUUCAAAGAGAUAGAUUUGGGGUUUGGGCCAGGUUUAACCAAAUCUCUCAGGAUUGCAGCUGAGGAGCAAAGAAAAGGGGAAGCUGAUAUCUGGAUGACAAUAUCCAAAUGAGUUGCAUCUCCAAAGCAGAGAAUUGGCCAUGGGUCUUAAGGAAUCAUCCAAGUUAAAGCAAAAUAAUACUUCAGCCCUCUAUAUAAACAUUCCUGUAGCCACUGCCCCCUAGACCUAUAGUUUAUAAAUCUCAGUCUACCCAGUAUGCUGAUGGAGGAAAAGCUUUCACCUAAACACCGACCGUGUGAGUUGUUCAUAAUACUAAAUUCAUUUAACUUACAGAACUAUAUUUCAAAAUGUUAUUUUUCUGACAUAAUUGUUCGUUUUUAAAUGAAUUGAUGGCUUUUGAUGUCUUUACGUGGCAAAAUUAAAAUGUGUCAACUUCGUGUUCAUUUUCUAAAUUUCUUAGAGAUUUUAUUGGUCUAUAAAAUCCAAAAUUUGAAGAACCACCUCUUUUAAUAUGACCCAUAGUAUCAUUUCAGUUAGCUAAUUUGCUCUGAAUUAAAUGGCAGAUUUAUUUUCAGUUCCUGAAUUCAUUACUGGUGGUCAUGGUUGGUGUGGUUUAUUAAGGCAAUUCCUUUUCGAGUCACAUCAUUCGUAGCCUCUUCAAAUUAAAAUUUGUGAACAGGUAUACUGCCACAGGUACCCUGAAGGCUGUCUGCAUAUGAACAGGGUUUGGUUUUGUAGUCAAUAUGCCAUUCAACAAGAUGAACCCCACAGUUAGUAAAAACAAUAGCUUGCAUUGUAUUAUUACAAAGCAGUGUUUGUGUAAUGAUUACAUAUUUUCACUUACAUAAUUAUGAAAUGUACAAGUGUGACUGCUGCACAGUAAUUAGUCACAAAUGGCACACAUUUCAUGUAAAUGGCUGCAAUUCCUGUGACUCUUCCUAUUGGGGCUAGCUUCAUGAGCGUGUGACCUAUCUAGUCCCACAGGGUCCCCUUGCUCAAGAGGGCCCCAUGUUUGGUUUAAUGUGCUGUGGCUGCUGUCUUGAAAUUGUUCAUAAUUUUUGACAAGGGGACCCACCCCACAUUUCCCCUUUACACUGAGCCCUCCAAAUUACAUGGCCAUAUCCAACUGCUAUUGCAAAGAUUCAAGCUGGGCUGGGAGGUAGAAAUAGAAGGACCAGGUAGAGAGGCAGGGAGCAAGACUGAAUCCUUUUAGUCAUCUCAGGAGCCUCUGCCUCCAAUCCAACAAGAAGGGCUUCUCCUGUUACUUAGAAAGUCUUGGCUCUUUUAUUCAACUGGAACAAGGAAGAAGAAUUAGCUUUUCAGAAAAUAAAAAGUUUUGGUUAGGUCACAGUAAGGGGGAGCUGGGGAGAUGCUAUGGUUUUGAUAUGUCCCCAGAUUUCAUGUGUUGGAAACUUAAUCUCCAAAUUUGUAUGUUGAUUGGAGAUGGGGCCUUUUGGAAGUAAUUAGGAUUAGAUAAGGUCAUCAGGGUUGGAGUCCCCAUGAUGGGACUGGUAGCUUAAUAGGAAGAGGAAGAGAGAUCUGAGCUGGCAUGCUCUUGCCCUCUCACCAUGUAAUGGUGAGAAAUCAAUGUCUUUUCUUUAUAAAUUACUCAGUCUGUGGUAUUUUGUUAUAGCAACAGAACAUGAACUAAGACAGAUAAUUGAUACUGAGGAGAUGGGCUAUUGCUAGUAAGAAAUACCUGAAAAUGUGGAAGCAGCUUUGGAAGUGGGUAAUACAUAGAGGCUAGGCUCUGAGAAUAACUCACAGUGGUCAAGUGGCCUAGGAGGUGCCUUCAGGGAGACCAGAAGCACUUGAUGGGAUAAAUAGUGGUCAUAAGAUAGGCAGUGUAAACUACCUCACUCUUCCCCACUCUUCCGUAGCAUCUGCUGUGAAGAUACUGUUUCUUAUGGUUUUGUUAGUGGAUUUCUUUGUGGAGCUCAAAGUUCUGAACCCAGGUUGAUUCAACGUGAAAAUAAACAUUGAUCGUGCAGGCUCAAGGAGCCAGAAGACAGGGGUCGGGGGAUGGAAGGCGGGACAGUGGGCAAUUGGGCUCAGAGUGAUGUGUCCUCAGUGAGAAUUCCAGUUUUGCCAUAAUCUUCCCUGUGAAGUUCUGAGAAUGAGUGUACAAUGCCAUAAUGUCCUGGACUAUGGUGGGGAUGGUGGGUGUUCCCCACACUUGAGCAGAACGAAGCCUGUGUAAGCUGUGAAACUGUCAGCUUUGGAGAUUAGUCAUCCUUGCUCAGACCCUAUAAAGCUUUUGCAUUAGUUAGGCUGAUGUUUCACUUUUAACUCAUAUAAUAGGCUUCAGACACUUGGAAAUAGUGCUUUUAUCAUUAGGUAUGUUGCCAUUUUUAUUUUUUCAAGUUUCUCGCUCUCUCUCUCACCACAUAAGUACACUUAAAGCUUUACCCUUGCUAUGAGGUUAACCUAAGGCAGAGGGUAUGUUGCCAGCUAUAGGCCAAAAGUCUGGGUAGGCAUGCGAGAAAGAAAUAUUUUGGUAGCAAUAUAGCUUAGGAAGUCAAUAUUUUUUAACAUAAGUGACAGCAAAUAUUUACAAAUUCAGGCUACUGUGGGUGUUCAGAUUCUGAGUGAAAAGCAAUCUCAUGCACUGAUAUUUACUUUGAAUAUGUUCUCCUUUUUUCAGCACCCAUGACUAAUUCCCCUUUUCACAGGGUGAAGAGCAAGUUGGCUCUUGAUCUAGCCAGAAAAAAAAAAAAAGGUUUUCUUAUACUUCUGGUAGUAGGCAUGUGGUUAGAAUACAGGAGUAAGAAAACAAAUGUGACUCUUAAAAUUAUAGUACACAUUAAUAAACGAACUAAACAUCUAAAUGUUGCUAAAGUGACUGAAUCACAGAUCCACUGUUUCUUACUCUGGUUUUUGCUAGAGGGGCAAUGAACAUGUAAAUUGAGGGUACAAUGCAGCAAAUGAACUAAAUUAGAGACUUUAUUUGAGUAUUGUUGAUGCCGGGAGAGAUGAGAAAAAUAAGACAAACCUUGCCUUCAAGGAACUUAUAUUUGUGAGGAAAAUACAUCAACAAAGCAAAGUCAAGUAAUCAUAAAAAUAUGAACGGCUCUUUAACAGUAGAAGGGAGGGAGAAAGCUGAGCGUGGUUAAUUUAUACAUGGAAUGUAUGAAGUUGUUUCAGAGAGGCAAGAAAUUAUUUGCCUCUCUGAGUCUUCCUGGAAACAGUCUCCCUGGAGGAGGUAGAUUUGAGUAUUGAAAGGAGCAUUCUAGGCAGGCAGAAGGCAUGAGUGGAAUCACAGAGGUGGUGAAAGAUCCAUGAGAGUGAGAUGAGUAAGCCAGGCUGGCUGAUGUGAGGUUUUGGGAUGGUGAAUAAUUGGAGACUGUGCUGGAAAUAGCUAGUGCAUUGGACUCCAGAGGGUCUUAAUUGGUGGGACAGGAGCUUCUGCAUGCACCAUGAAAGACCUGCUCUGACACAGUGAAAAUCUCUGCAUCUCCCUUUCCCACUGAGUCAUCUUAGGCUUCCCUCUCUGCUUUUCCCUUGAAGCCAGGAGUCCAUUCCCAGUGGGCAGGCCCAUCCUUCCUGAAAUCCAGCACAAGAUGAGGCCUGGUAGGUGAGUGUGCAGGGCCAUGGUGCAGACUCCUCCAAGCUCAUCAUUACUCCAGCUUGGUCAGGGUCUGUUUGGAAAAUGGAGUGGUGACAUCCUCUUGCCUCAGGAUGUGUGGAAGCUCCUUCCAUGUAUACAGUAGAAACAGAGCAUCUCUGAUCCUUUAUUACCCCCAGAACCCACUCUCCUGGCUCCUGGCCGAAGGGCCUGAGAAGCAAUUGUAAAAUUGGGAGCUUGCCCAAAGGACCAGUACUAUAUAAAGAUUCAUUUCAAACCCUGAGCAAGGCGUUACGGAUGCAGACCUGAUAAUGAGCCAUUAUGAGAAAAUGAAAAGCACAGACUUUGUGGUGGUGCCCUCAGAGCUAAGUAAUUCUGGAGAGUAAUUAUGAAGCAGAAGAAUGAUUAUACAAACUGCAGACUAAACAUUUAGGCCCUGUGUGUGAGGCCAGCUGACAAAGCAGAGGUAAUUAAUAGGCAGUUACAAUGUGGAAGAUUCUGGAAAGUAGAGUUCUGUUGUCUGAAAUUUAGUCUGACAGAGGAAUAUUAGCAAGAUAAAUGUAUUUGGACCAAGCACUCCCGAGAGGAAGGGCAUGCUCAAAUUGUUUCUGUAAAAAGUCUCUGGCGGUGUUUGGCUCCCUUCUGCGUCCUUCAUGAAACAGUUCUCCUUGAGUAUUACGGUUGGCAAGCAUGUGGGUGGGGGAGAUGUCACACGCACCCGCUCCAGCUGUACAAGCAAGCCACUGCGAGGAUUAGACGCUUGUUAGUUAUGAACUUAGGUGUCUGGUCUGUUUCUUUGCCUUUCAAAGGCACUUCCUGGCAGAGAGGUACAAUGGUGCUUUGCAGGAAACCCUGUGCCCACAGCAUCUGUUCUGCAGCUUGGCAGACCGCAGCUGGCCCUGAGCAUGGCCUACUAAUUCUCUGGGUCAGGUGUGGCUGUGGUGAGAUGGAUCUCAGCCAGGUAAGACCCUCUAAUCUCUGUUUUCUUUCUCCUGCCAUAGAUACACUGAUGAUUGGAGGGUAUGACAGGAAUUCUUGCCUGCCUUUGGGUCGUGAGGGAAACAGAGACAGCGUAAUGGCUUUUUGGAGUGCCAGGAGCAGAGUCCCCAGAGUUCAUUCUUAGAAAACUAUGAAGCUGUUCUUUGAACUCCAACUUUUUCUCCUAUAUUCAUUCAGGGCUCUUUCCUCUACAACCCCCUCAUUCUUGCUGUUGAUAGAUGCCUCUUUCCUACUCUCUAAAUGUCCAAUUUUAUCUUCCUUUGGAAUGCCAUCAAAUUCUUCCUCCCUUUUUCUGUACCCCACCUCCAAAAAUAAUCCCAACACCCACCUCGUCAGAGUGUCCAUUUAUUUCCUCAGGGCUAAUCCCAGAAGGAGCAUACAAGUUGGUGAACUCAUACUAAUAUGUGAAUGAUUGUUGCCCUUGGAUGGUUAGAAAAUCAAGGUAGUUGUCCACUGUAGAAGAUUGUUUAAAGCCAAGUGGUUAAGAAUAUUCUAUAUCCUUCCUUUUGCAUAUAUUAUCUCGUUCAUCCUUGUGAAGCAGAUAAUCUCACCAUCUCAAUGUACAGAAAAGGAAACUGAGGCUCAGAACAUUUUGAGUAGCCUACUUAAAUAGUCUAGGCAGAGAUUGAACCCCCACGUCUCUGGCCCCAAGAGGUCUUGAUAAUUCCCUCACAACUGCUGCCUAACAGCAGAUAAAAUAUAUUUGGAUUCUUCUCACCUUUAAGAAAACCUAGUAAGUUAAUCUCUAAAAAUCAGCAAUCUGCUCAGGGGAUACAGGGAGAACUAGGACUAUUGUCCCAAAUGUGUAGUCAUAUUUAUCUGCUUACCAAAUGACCAUGUGUUGAAUCCCUGAAAACCAUGGGAGAAAUACCAAUUAAAAAAAAAAUCAGAGUUCUGUGACUUCUUCUUUACUAGGUUUCCCUAAAAUUAUGUUUUACUACAAAACCCUGAGUAUAGACCACAUGCUACGAGAUGAUCCGUGAUAUCUCUUAGCCCAGUUAUAACAACUUACAGUUUUCCUUUUUUUUUUCUAAUUGAAUACAAUGUUCCCAAUUAUAUUAGUUAUAAAAGAUAAUUGCAAAAACCAUGCCUGGUCAUUUAAAGUCAUCUUCUUCUUGAACCAGUUGGUUCCAUCUGGUCUUCUGGAUGAAAGAAGUGGAAGACACUGAGCUGAGUUCUGCCCUCCAGUGAGCUUUGUUCUCCAGAAGUUACUUUCUAUGAUGCCAAACCCACACAUCUGGUGAGAAGCAGAUGAGGAAGUUUCCCUUGGGAUAACCCAACUGGAGGUGAUUCACAUCACUCAAGGGUGAUGCCAUAGUCAGAAAAGGAAACUUGACUUAGGCAGAAAAGGAAUUGUUGUCUCUCAUAACCAAACCAUGGGAGCAUAGGGUUGUGGCUGGACCUUAGGAAUAAUCUGGAUGAGGAGUCAAUGAUCCUAAGCCUUUGUCUCCCCAUCCCUGGCCUCUGCUUUUCUGUACUUGUUGAUUUCAUUUUGUCUGACAGACAUCCUCCUGACAGCUGAAAACAAGACCAGCAGAAGCAACCAACCCUCACUGCUCACAGCUUGGGCCCAGUGCUCAGCCCCAGGACCAGCUGACACUGAUAGUAGCUGUUUUAAACCACAGGAAUAAAAUGGAGGAAAAAUCAUCUUCCAAAGACGAGAAAUGCUGCUCACAAAAGAAAGGUGCUGUGUAGAUUCCCAGUAAACAAUAUUAUCUAUAAAUGACUCUGGGAAUCACUAAUAAGUGAUGAUGAAGCUGAUUAUGCAUUAUAUAAAUGUUUAGAUUUGAAAAAAAUUGAUUUAUAGCAUAUAAAAUCCCAUUAUUUUAUAUUACUGAAAUAGGAAUAUGAAGGAAUGGAAACAUUUUAUUUUAAAAACAUAAAGUUACACUAAGACAUUAGCUCCUUUGACUCACAUAUUUCAAAAACAAUGACGGUUUUCAGUGGAAAAUAAUGCUAAGAAGUUCUGAAAAUAACAGUAAUAAGGAAGAAUUUGAGUAAUGAAACAUUUAUUCACUCAUUUUCCUUCAAGUAUGUACAAUAUAGCUAUAAAAUAAUUAGACUAAAAAAUGGCAGGCACAGCAGAACCUUAAACCAACAAAUUUAAAGUAUAGACAUUUUGUUGGUAUAAUAAGAGCAUUAAUAUGUAUUGAAUGUUUACCAAGUGCAGGUAACUAUUAUAAAACCUUUAUUGGCAUGAUCUGAAUUAGUUCUCAAAACAAAUAGUUGGCAAACUAAGGCCUGUGGGCCAAACUCGGCCCACCUUCUAUUUUUGUACAGAGUUUUAUUGGAACACAGCAACACUCAUUCAAUUAUGCAUUGUCUAUGGCUACUUUUAUGCUACAGAAUUGAGCUGUAGUGGCAGAGACUGUAUGGACUACAGAGCCUGAAGAAUUUGCCAUCUGGCCCUUUACAGAAGAAGUUAGUUGAUCCCUGCAAAACAAUCCAAUGGAGUAGGUACUGUUAUUUCUGCUUUACCCCAAGGUCACAGAAUGGUAGUUGUCAGGGUAGUGAUUCAAAUCCUGAACUGUCUGACUAUAAAGUCUAUCAUCUUUUUAGAUAGAUUUAUAGCACAGAGCACAGGCCCUAGAGUCAGACUGUUUGGGUUCAGAUCAGAUUCUACCAUCUAGUAACUGCAUAUUGGACAGUUUGCUUAACUGCCCUGUACCUCGGAUUCCUCCAUAACUCUUCCCAUUGGUAAUAGAUGUGGCUGGUCAUCCUUCGUGUCAGUACAGGCCUUGGACCCGGGGUGUCUGUCCUAGGCCCUGCAUCUCAGGGCCUCCCAUGCUUUGGAGUGCCUCCUUCAACAUUCUCAAAGUUUCUCUGGGAACAGCUGGAGUAGCAGUGCCAUCUGGGCAGGGUACCCUGAGCUGGGACCAGUAAGUAUCCUAGUCCCCAUUUCUGCCCUUUGGAUUGCUCUUUGAUCUCUACUUCCCAGCCCUCAUGUGGGGCUGAUCUGAUGCCCCAAGGAGCUCCAGGACUCAUAUCUGUGGGUUUAUUUUGGGAUCCUUGACCUGGCCCUGAUUCCGGGUGGGUGACCAGAUGAGCCACUGCUCCCCAGAAUAGCCCAGUUUUUCUUGUUGAGUCACCAGGCAAGUGCAGACAUGUUGAUUUUGAUGACUCUCACUUACGUAAAACCCAUACGUUCAGGGCUCUGAGGUUCUCAUGGCCCACUGCUGGCCCUUGACUAGAGCCAUAUGUGGGGUCCAUGUGUCAGGUCUCACCUCUCCAUGUCUGAAUAAAUAGUGGCUUCCAUUCUACAGCACCCCAAGGUAGUAAAGGUGGUGUCACUUACCCUCUCCCCUGUACCCCUCCCAUCACUAGCACCAGGAAAGUCAAACCCCAUCGCUGAGCAUUCCUCCAGAGCAUUGUCUGUCCCCAAAGAACAUUUGACACUUGUUCUGCAAUGUUAGCAGACCCUCCUGCUUGAGGCCCUCCAAUCGAUGUGUUGCCUGUGUCAAUGUGUUGACAUGAACCCUCUGUGCUUAAGCCAUGUUGGGGAGACGUGGACAUUUCUUGUACAAAUAGGACCACUCUUCUUUUUCUACCCAUGGGUUUCCCCCACCUCCCCAUGGUGAAAGUGUGUGGAAGGCAAAGGUGCUGUCAACAUUAAAAGAAAUCACAUUCUAGGAAUGCAGGAAUUACCGUAGGGAGUUCAAGAGAAGAUAUGGUCAGAAAAUAUGCUCUUCUAUAUUUAUGCUAUAAAAUUUCAAACAGUGAAUUUAACAUUCUCAGAAAAUGAAUUAACAUUCACAUUUUCCUGCAUAUUCUGGGCAAGACUUGACUUUGUGGUCAUCAUCUCCAAAACACAGUAACCGCCCUCCCUUGAGAGCAUCAGUGGAAGCCAGGAUUCAUGGGUGGCAGCAGGGAUGACACAACAUCAUGAUUGAUGAUAUAACCAGCAUUAAAUAAAUGAUAUUAAGGAAAUCCAGAGGCUAGAAAAGCUGUUAUUUCAAUACAAACAAAUGCUGAAGAGCCAGUGUUGUAAUAACAGCAUUGCAACCCUUUUCUCCCAGUGAGACAUGUGGAAUUAGCACAUCUAACAAUAAAAAACACAAAGAGGAUUCUGGCAUCUGCACAGAAAGUGAUGGUGCCUAGACACUAUGAAAAAAUCUUCCCUUGCACUGAUUGAACAAUAAGCAAAUACAAAAAUACCUGUUCUUUACCCAUUAUUCUAAAUCUUCAUUGAUAAAUCAUGACUCAGAUAGGCCUACGAAUUUUGUAAAACAUUAAAUCAAAUUCCUUAUACAGACAGGGACUUGGCAGAAAAUAUUUUCCAGGGACACAUACCAUAAAGAUGCCCUGCUUGGUAUUACCUCAUUUUCUUUUCUAUGAAGUCACUCUUGCUUUCACUUGCAGUUUCUCCUGUCUUUCUUCACGUUGGUGCUUUCCCAUGUUUUUUUUUUUUUUCUCGUUUAGGGUGUUCUUUCCUUCUUUUCAAAAAUCACUUUAUGCUUUGUAAUAUUUGUAGCCCUCAACUUCUUUCCAAGCAGGUAAUUUUGCCUUUCUCUCUGUCUCUUUGGUCAUCUGCCUGUCUUAGCCUUUCAGACAUUCUCACACUGUAAUACACACAUGCACGUGCACACACACACUCUAUACAUAUACACUAUGCACAUAUCAUAUAUACACACAACUGAUAAACAUUUUGUUUUAACGUACAAGCAGCAUGUUUACACAGAAUUUGUCCUUGGCUUUAGUAACUAUACUCACCAAAUAGAGGGCUACAUAUGUGAUACAGGAGAGUCAGUCCAGGAUUACUUGCUUUCAUUCUCAAUCUUGUCUGGAUAAUCAGGUUACAGUAUGCUAAGGACAUCAAGAUGCCCAGAAUGGCACAAGUGGAAAUUCUUUUAGAUGCCUUGUUGUGCGCUCUUGAGUGUCUGUGGUUAGAACUUGAUUCUUUACUGGCCUAUGGAUCAAGUGUCCUGUGGUUUGUGACAGCUGCAGCAUUGGAUGAGAUAACUGGGGGUGCCAGGCAUAAUUCAUCCCCGUAUGUCCACAUUCUGACUAUAGAAAGCUAUUGACCUAAAAUAACAUUUUAUAUCAUUUAAAAAUAUUUGGGUAGCCUAAGAUCCAUUUUUUUGUUUUGGAUCAGGAGGUACUACAUCCAAUUUUUACAUGUCGUACCUCUUUGUUUUCACAGAUAAUUUAUAUUUCUUUAUCUCUGACACUAUUUGGCUGUCCUAGAAAUAGCUGAUGACACCAAUUAGGAGAUACGCUCAGUCACUGAUGACGUCCUAUCCUAUUAUGUGUUCAUGCACAGCAGGGCAGGGUAUCUGAAAUGCAUUUGCUUUAGCACAUUUAGAUAAUGUGUGGGAAAGGUGACAGGUUUUUAUUUUCUUUUUUGCCAAUUUGUACAUUAGUGUCUCUUAAGUGGCAGAUUAAAAAUUUCUUAAAGCACUAACACUGAUUAAAAAUGUUUGUUUAGGCUUGUUCAGAACUCUUAAGUGCUUGCAGGAGCCAAAUCACAUUCUCGUCCUUUAAGCAAACAACAUUUUAAAAGCCUAUAAUGGCUGUAUCUUAUUGAAGCAAAUGAUAAUAACUUUCUAUAGGGCUAUUUUCUUUUAUAAGGUAAAUAACUAAAACUUGUAAAUAUGGAAAAAUAAUCCAGAUCCAUAGACAUAUUUGUAAGUAUAUAUUUCUUAAAAAUGUUUCAGUCCUAUUAGUCUCUAUCAUUUUAAUACACUGGCAAAAUAUAUAGUACUUUGUUCUUUUCUCAAAACUCUUUUUCAGAAUUUAUGGCAUUUCUUGUACCUGGUAAAGACUACUGAUAAGCCAUUUCUUGUGGACUAAUAAAAAAAAUUAGUUUUUGGUAAGCAUUAAUUUUAGUCUCUGCUUUUUAUCUGUUUAUUCAUUCUUUCAUCCUUCAUUCAGCAAUAGCUUCUGUGCUGGGCUGGGAGUCAGGUUGGAGGAAUGUGCCCUCUCACCAGGAGGAUGGACUUGAUUGUAUCACUGUGGGGGACCCACUGAAUAGUGGGACCUCUGCAAAGUGCAGUGCAGCCCAAGAGGAGAGAACAACUGAUUCUAACACAGGCUUCACAGAGAAGGUGACAGAGGUUUUAACGGGUUAGUAAAAAAGGAGUUCAUGCAAAGACAGAAAGGCUGAAAAGACGGGUAUUUGGGGAGUUCUGCAAUGGUAAAUGAGGGGGAAGCUAAAUGUGUGUGGCUGGUGGCAUAAGUAACGUGGGAUGUGUAGAUUGAGGCCAGAAGGCGAAGGGACUUGAGUGCCAUUUUCAAGACUUUGUUUGGACUUUGUCUCCUAGCUAUGGAGACCUCAUAAGGACCUUUAGUCAGGGUGGUGACUUAAGAGUGGGCACUAUUGGAAUCAGAGGCUCUUACAAUAACUGUGAGAGGGAAUAAGGACUUAAGGCAAAGACCUUCUUUGUGAUUAUAGACAAAUUUAUUAUGCAAUACAAUAGAUAAAAAAGAUUAAUGCAUAAGUCUUCAUAGCCCCUCUUCCUCUUCUUCCCCAUACCCCCCAGGAAAAUUCUAGCAGAGCUAUGGAUUAUGAAUUGGAUUUUCUUUGGAGUUCUUUAAGAGAAGAAUAUAAAUAUUCUAAAUGCUUUAAUUCUUCUUUGUUGCUACAUCUUGAUUUGUUUGUUUUUUCACUGUAACUGCACUGAGAUCAGUCCCCAUGGAGCUCUAGGUUAUUAGGGCUACAUAACAUGUUUUUUUUUUAGGAGAGCCAGUAUAAUGUUGGGUGACCCAAAGGUUUAUGCCUACUUGGGGGCAGUUUGAAGACCUACUAGUUAGUCACAUCUACAAAGAUAAGAUAGGCAAGGUUUUAAAAACCCAAAUCCUGUCUGGUUUCCUGCUACCACAGUAAUUUCCUGAGGAAUACUCCAGGAUAAGAACAUGCUGUUUAUUACCAGCUAGGGCUUUGUCCUUGACACCUCACAAAAGUGCCUGUUCCAGGUCAUGAACUUGGGUCAAUCUGUGGGCAAGAUGUAAGAACCCUUUGCCUCCUCUGAACUCGGAAGCAAUUGAGAUGACAUCCAUCUUUGGAUGUUCUCUCCUGGACUCUACCUGGUUCCUGCUUGGUUUUCUAACAGAGGGAAAAAAGAGGAUGCCGCUUUCCAACCAUAAGGAGGCCUCCAUCCAAUCUUAUCCUAUCAGCUGCCAGGAAGGAAAAAGAGAGAAGUGAUCUCUGUUCUAAGAAAGUUGCAUUUUAAAGGAAGAAGUUCUGAAUGAAGUGCCCCAAUCAGGAGCAAGGAUGCUUAUCUUCUUUCCUCCUCUGAUAUGGUUUGACCGUGUCCCUACCCAAAUCUUAUCUUGAAUUGUAGUUCCCAUAAUCCCCAUGUGUCAUGGGAGGGACCCAGUGGGAGGUAAUCGAAUCAUGGUGGUGUUUACCUGCAUGCUGUUCUCGUGAUAGUAAGUUCUCAUGAGAUCUGAUGGUUUUAUAGGGGCUUUUCCCCUCCUUCUCUCUGCACUUCUUCUUGCUGCCACCAUGUGAAGAAGGGUGUGUUUGCUUCCAUUUCUGCCGUGAUUCUCUUUCCUGAGGCCUCCCCAGCCCUGCAGAAGUGUGAGUCAAUUAAACCUCUUUCCUGUAUAUUUAAUCAACUAUCUAGUCUCUGUUAUGUUGCUCCAUUAGCAGCAUGAGAACAGACUAAUACAGCUAACCCACUUUACCCUUAGCAGCAUAGAUUCAAUUCCACCUUCUUUGUGGAAUUGAAUUCCUAAUUCAUAUUAGGGUGUUGGGCAGAGUGAGUAUUUGACUUUCAUUUAUUCAUUGGAUUUUACAUCCAGGUUGUGCCACUAGCACAAACAGUUCAUGGAGGGCCUUGUAUACCUGUUUAGGAAUUUGGGCUUUGUAUGGUAAAGGAGAGUUUCUGAAGGUUGUUAAUUAGGGACUUUAUGGGUUUAGAUGUUCAGUUAGAGAAGCUUAAAAUAUUUUUUAAAAUAUAGUAUCUAAAAAAUAUUUUUAGAGCCCAUCACUCAAAAUUAAAAAGGAAAAACAUUGGCAGGGGUCAUUCUAAAGACAGUGAAAUAGUUAGGAAGCUGUUGCUAUAUAAUAGAAGCAAGGUAUGAUGAGGGCCUGAAUGGAGUCAGUGGCAGUGGGAUUGGAGAAAAGAGAUUGGACAUGAGAAAUAUUUAGGAGGCAAAAGAAGAGGGUUGUGUGGAAAAAGGAGUCACUUCCCGGGUUUUGUCCUGAGAAGCUGGCUGGAUGGUAUUGUCACUCACAAGCACAGGAGAAGGAGGAUGGAAGCAUAUUUUUGUUGGUGGUGAACUUGAUUUGAAAUAUGGUAAAUUUGGGGUUCUGGCAGGCCAAACAAGCAGAGAUGUCCAGGGCUCAUCUGGAUAUUCAGGUCUGAAGCCCAGGAGUUGUAUUUGGGCAGGAGAUAGAGAUGUGGGAGUCAUCAGAAAAUAGAUGGCAGUUGAAGCUCUGAAACAAGACAUCACCAAACAGAAGAAUGAGAAUGACCCUAGGGUGCGUGGUAGCAAUGGGGUCAGUAGUCGAAGAAGAACCGGGAAGGAUUCACAGUGGUGUAGUUGGUGGGAGAGAAGGAAAACCAGAGAGAAGGGAGUGAGAGGAGCAGCAGUGCCCUGGAGAGUCAAGUGCUGCAGAGAAGAGAAGAAAGGGAGGUAGGGUGGGGAACAUCUGUGACUUUAGGAAGGUGGUUCAUUGGUGACUGCUGAGCGCAGCUUCAGUGAACGGUGGCAGUAGAUCUGGAGGAAAGUGACUCAGUGAAUGUGAGGUGAGCAAAUGGAGACAUUGGUGUAAAUGCCCCUUUCGAGGUUGUGGAAGUGGCUCACGUUUUUGAGGCAGGGCUGUGUUUGUUUUUCAGAGGUAGGGACUCGAGCAUAUUCUCUGCAGAAGCCCCCAGUCAGUGAGACUGGUAAAGACUGUUGUCAUGUAGUCAGAGGCAGAGUCUCAGUUCUACUCCUUCUCUUAUCUCUGUCACACUGAACACUUCUGCUCUUUCUUAAAUCACCAGUUGGCUCCUGGGGCUCCCAGGCCUUUCUGGGUUUGCUCUGGGUUUAUUCACCUCUUGUGUCAGUCUGUUCUCAUACUGCUAUGAAGCAAUACCCGAGACUGGGUAAUUUAUAAAGGAAAGAGGUUGAAUUGACUCAUAGUUCUGCAGGACUGGGGUUGCCUCAGGAAACUUAUGGUCAUGGCAGAAGCGGAAGCAAACAUGUCCUUCACGUGGCAGCAGGAGAGAGAAGUGCAAAGGGGGAAAACCCCUUAUAUAAAAACAUCAGAUCUUGUGAGAACUCACUAUCAUGAGAACAACAUGAGGGUAACUGCCCCCAUGAUUCAAUUAUCUCCUGCUGGGUCCCUCCCAUGACACGUGGGGAUUACGGGAACUACAAUUCAAGAUGAGAUUUGGCUGGGGAUGUAGCCAAACCACAUCACCCCUGUUAGAGGUGGAGGAUUUGCUGUGCCCCACUCACUGCCACCCCCACUGCCACCAGGGCAGUCAUGUCUCACAUGGUGCGACAUUUGGUAUCCCCACUCCUUCACCCACUUGUGCCUUCAGAGAGGACUCGGAGCCCUCAGGAGAGCUACAGGGUAGUCCCGUAAAUAGCCAGGGGCCAGUGAGAUGAUGUACUCUGAGGAGAGGCUUCCCACAAUACAAACCUUAGGUGUCAAAUGUGCUAUGAGGACACUGAGGCAUUGUACCCUCAGCACCUGUGGCAGGUAGGUGGGGCCCAGGCCAGCCACAACAGCCCUUUCAUUUCCCCAUGGUGCUGUCCCAAUGUCAUAAUUUUCUUUGUCAUGAUAUGGGAAGCACUGCCUGAUGGGGCCCCACCUCCAGCACAUUGGCUGUCUCUCUGUCACUUGGCUUCCUGAAUGGUAUUUAAACGCCCCCCGCAUCACUGUUGGGUCUCAGCAAACUCUCUGGCCUCUUGUUCAAUUUGCCCUCUGCAUACUGGGAAGGCCUAUUUAACUUUGCCUGGCAUCUGUGUGGAAGAAACACUUCUUAGGCAAAGAGCUCCUGGAAGACAAUCUCCCUAGCAACAAUGAAGCAUCCUCUCUACAGUCUUUUCUGCCUCUCUUUUGUUGUUAUCUGGAUGACAGGGAUUGAAUCUGGCCUCUGCCCAUAUCAAAUGCUGUCUGGGGCUGGAAACAAGCCUCAAAACAUGUUUUAAAUAUUUUAUUUCCCCCCGUCUCCCCUAAGUCUGCCCACCAUGCAUACGCUUGAUUAAAGUUAUGCCCCAGUGAUCAACUGUGAGUGACAGUGACCCUCCUAAAGGUAGUCUACUUAGCCUCUGGGCUCAGGCAACACACCUGUGUCUGAUUAGACACUGUUACCCUGCUUGAACCUGUGCCACAUGAAAGCAGCUUUCUCUUGUGCUCUGGUAGUGGGAGAUGCUUUCUUGUAAUGUUAAUGCAGGGCUAGACUUUUCUCCUGCUGAUCCUUUGCCUGGAAUGUUCUCCUCUUCCUUGUCACCAGCCAGAGCACCACUAAAUCAGUGUAAACUCCUUAAGGGAAGACUAAAGUCCUGGGAAGUGGGGUCAUCCUGGCCUUAUCUCCUUAAAGAACCUAACUCUUCAAGGGGGUCUUCCCUGUUAACCCUCUGUAUUAGUUGGCUAGGGCUGCAGUUGCCAGUACCAUGAACUGCGUGACUUAAACAACAGAAACUAAUUGUCUCACAGUUUUGGAGAUCAAGAUCAAGGUGCCAGCAGGUUUGGUUUCUCCUGAGACCUCUUUCUUUGGCUUGCAGAUGGCCACCUUCUUGUUGUGUCCUCCCAUGGCCUUUCAUCUGUGUGUGUGCAUCCCUAAUGUCUCUUCCCCUUUUUAUAAGGACGUGAGUCCUAUCCAAUUAGGGUCCCACCCUUAUGAGCUCAUUCAGCCUUAAUUACUUCUUCAAAGGCUUUAGCUCCAAAUAUAGUCACACUGAGGGUUAGGGCUUCAACAUAUGAAUUUUAAGGGAACACAGUUCAGUCCACCUCAUUAUCCUUAACGUUUUCCAUUUUUCUGUAUUCUCUCCAGUGCUUGGGUAUUGCAUCAGUUUCCUAUAAUUGCUUUAGCAAAUUACUAAAAACUUGGUGGCUAUAAACAACAGAAAUUUAUUGUCUCACAGUUCUAGAGGCCAGAAGUCUGAAAUCGGUGUCACUGGGCCGAAAUCAAGCUGUCAGCAAGGCUGUACUCCCUCCAGAGGCUCUAGGGGGAAAUCUGUCCCUUGCCUUUUUCACUUUUUGGUGGCUGGCAGCAUUCCUUGAUUUCUGGAUGCAUCAAUCCAUCCUCUGUGGUCACAUUGUCUACUCCUCUUCUGGUCAAAUUUCCCUUUGCCUCUCUCUUAUAGGGACAAUCGUGAUUGCAUUUAGGGUCCACCCAGAUAAUCCAGACUAAUGCCCCAUCUCAAGAUCCUUAACUUAAUCAUAUCUGUAAGGCCCCUUUUACCAAAUAAGGUGACAUUUAUAAGUUCCAGACAUUAGAAUCUCCUAUCUUGGGGGCCAUUAUUCCACCAGCCACAGGAGUAUUGUUCAUAAUAUAUCAUUUGAUGUUUAAACAAAUGAUGUAUCAUUUGAUGUUUAACAGCUGACCUACAAAAAGAGCCCUUGUUGCAAGGGCAGGAGACACAAAGAUGUUUUUGCUGGGUGUGUUCAGACAAGAUCACACCCUUCAUACCAUAAUCUAGAGCCUUGGCUCUGUCCUCCCACAUGACCUUCGCCUGAGGGGAGGGGCUGGGGACUAGGGAGCCAAGGAGUCUCCCUGGGGAGGUGAGGUUUCAGAUGAUCCAGGGGUUGGAAGAAGUUUCUCCCAUGCAUUUUUAUCUCAUGGCUGGUUAAGAGGGGUGGGCAUCCCACUCCCGGAAGCCAUUUCACUUUGAAUACUUUGUUUACUUCUGGUUAGAAGAGUCUUCAGGAGUGUGGGCUCUGGUAAGAAGGUCCCAUUUUCCCUGGACUUAUACAACCAGGUCUGCUUCUUGUGUUUUGCUAUCGUGACACUUUUACAAUUUUUCCUCUCAGUUACCUAAGGUACCUGAUGAAUAGUCAACAUGUUUGUGAAGUCCAGAGUGCCAGAUGUAUUGAAAAUGAGCAAUUUUAAUCAACGGUGAACCUACCUCUUUAUAUUUUUUUUUUAAAAAGAGGGCGAUUACUGAAGCUUCACAAAUAGUGCUUUAUUUAGUCAUAGGAGCCAUGAUCUGGUACUAGGAUGGGAGGACUUUAUUGGCUGCUAAUCUAAGAUUGUGUUUGUCUGUUCUUCCUUCUUGCCAUUUAUGGUGGAAAAAUCUUCCAGAGCACCACAGGUGUUUUGUUUCUUGCUUCUAGUCCCAUCCCAAUUUCAUUUUCAUGAAAUGGGAGUCAGGUUUGGAAGAUAAUUACCAAUUUCCUUUUCCUACUUUUAACAAUGCCCCUGCUUACGGUACAAAGUUGUGUCUGAACAUUACUGCUUAUUCUGAAAAACUCAAUAUGUAAUUUUUAAUGUCGUUUCAAGCCUUUUGAAGUUUCAUCUGUUUCUGGGGCAUUGCUAAUGGUUUACCUUACAACGCAGAAAGAACUUAUAAAGGAGAUGUCAGGAGAAAAUAAUAAUCUCCUCAAUGCAAUCAUGUCAUUAAGAUGCUACUGUUAAGAGUGGGGGAUGAGGCAGAGGAAAGACCAGACAGUGACUUAGAAACAUGAGCAUUUGGCAUCGAAGGCAUUACUGUCUUGAAGCCUUCUGGCCUGUAGGGUGUAUGGAAACAUGUCAGUUAUGGAGAGUUUUAUAUUAAUCUCCUGUACCAUCUAAUUUGGUUGAUUCAAAAUUAGGUUUAAUUACAAGUGAUCUUCUGGCACUAGGGAGACCGGCCAACAAUAACCUUCAUUAUCUCUUCUGGUGAAGGCCACAUUUGCUCUCAGGUAAAUCUCUCAGAAAAGCUCAUCACUGCCCAUUUUUCUUUGGUCCCAGGCAAAAUUAUGCAUUACAUGAACUCACUCUUCAUGUUUUUCCUGGUCUCUCUUGCUACCUGGUCCCAGGCCAGUUGCUAGAGACUUGUGCUCCCACAGUGGGCAUCUGAUAAGUGAGUUCACUUUUCACUGUUGGUGGCUUGCAGAUGUUGUUACUCCUGGAAUUAUUCUAAGGGGACUCCAUGCCUAAUAGAAAAAGCCUCACCUAAAAAGGAACCCAUCUCCAAGGGUAGAUUUUUCUAGCCCUGGGGCAGCUGAGUGUAGAAGAAAUUGUUUUGAGCAGUACUGUUUUUCUAGGGUCACACAAGUUCUGCCUAUUUCACUUGUAACAAUGCUGCCCAUGGGUAUAAGGAUGACAUCCUUUGGAGUUUUAAUGCACAUUUCCUGGGACUUAAAGAUGGGAAUUUUCUAUGGACACAGUACCUCAAAGGGUUUCUUUGUUGGGAUUUUCGAGACCCAAAUGUAAUGAAAGAAUCUUUUCACUACAGAUGAUCCUUGACUUAUGAUGGGGGUUACGUCCUGAUAAGCCCAUUGUAAGUUAAAAAAUGUAAGUAGAAAAUGUGUUUUCAAUUAAGAACCAUCCUAAGUCGGGAACCAUCUGUACUUUUGUGGGUAUUUGGGGUGCAAACGUUGGGGACCAUGUGUUAUGCUGAUAAUGACCAUCUUGCUGAUGUGCCUUGUAGGGUAAGGACUCACCCUGGGAGAGACUGUGAGUUUCCCUGAGGGGUGGACAGUCCACACGUCACCUCUGGGAAGAGGCAGGUCCUCGGAAGUCUGGGGCUUCUGCUCCUCUCUGAGCCUCAGUUCUAUGAGUCUGGACUUCAAGGAGUUUGAGAGAACUUCCAGGGCUGUUUGUUUCUACUCAAUUGAAUUGUUUUUCCUACUUUGUAAGCCAUAACUCCUGGCUCUCUUGGGUUCUAAUGACCCAGGAGACUCUUCAAUGACAUUUGGAUUCUGUUUCCUGGGGAGCUUUCUUCCUUAAUCCUGGGGAUACUCAAAGUGUAAGCCAGCCUGGGAAAAGAUGGAUUGAAAGGAGUUCCGAGGAGGGAGGAUCACGAGUUCAGGAGAUCAAGACCAUCCUGGCUAACAAGGUGAAACCCUGUCUCUACUAAAAAUACAAAAAAAAUUAGCUGGGCGUGGUGGUGGGCACCUGUAGUCCCAGUUACUAGGGAGGCUGAGGCAGGAGAAUGGCGUGAACCUGGGAGGCGGAGCUUGCAGUGAAUCGAGAUGGCGCCACUGCACUCCAGCCUGGGUGACAGAGGGAGAUUCCGUCUCAAAAAAAAAAAAAAAAAAAAAGUUCCUGGGGCUGGGCACAGUGGCUCACGCCUGUAAUCCCAGCACUUUGGGAGGCCAAGGUGAGUGGAUCAUUUGAGGUCAGGAGUUUGAGACCAGCCUGGCCAACAUGGUGAAACCCUACCUCUACUAAAUACAAAAAUUAGCCAGGCAUGGUGGUGAGCACCUGUAGUCCCAGCUACUUGGGAAGCUGAGGUAGGAGAAUCAGUUGAAACCAGGAGGUGGAGGUUGCAGUGAGCCGAGAUUGCGCUACUGCACUCCAGCUUGGGUGACAGUGAGACUCUGUCUCAAAGAAAAAGUUCCCGGGGAUAUAGCUGGUGGGACAACUGCCCAGUGUGUUCAGCCCAGGGACUGCAAUACCAGCUUGCUUCAUCUGGAGUUGUUUCAGGAGACACUUAGCCCCUCUCACUUCCUUCACCUUCGUAAAUGACUUUCCCUGAGCACCUCACGUCAACCUCACUAUUGAGGUGUCCCUACUCUGGCCUUCAGGUCUCUGAAUGGGCACUAUAGACUGGGCAUGAGCUUUCACAAAAUGCUGGCUAAUUUUAUAUAAAUAUCUAUCCUGGGAACCACCUGUUCAGCAGUCUGAUUCUAGAAUCUUCUUCUACUGGAGUCUUCUCAGGAGUGGAUCCCAAUCUUGCAGACCUAGAAGUGGGCAUUUUUUACUCCAAUCCCUGUUUCUGGACUGUUUUGAAUAGAAGCACUACUAGGAUGUGAGUGUAUCCUUUGGUUAGCUCAUCAUAUUCUUUCCCUUCCAAGAAUGCCCCCUCUCCCUAAAAUGAUCUCAGCAGACCCUCAAGGUACCUUUUGGGUCCUUCUCUUCCACAAAACUGCCCCAGGUCUCUCCCUCCCCAGAACUCAAAGCUCUUUUUUCCCCCAGUGACCCUUUUGGCAAUGAAUCACGUGCAUAUUUUGUGACACACUCCAAUAAUCACUUCAUGGUGAGCAUAAUACCCACUUCACUGACUCAGCUUUGCUCAUUUUGAUGUAUGGCAGACAUCUCUGUCUGCGUGAUGAGUCUCUGGAAUAUUAACUCUAUUCUGCACGAUGGCUUUGCUUUGGGCAGAUGUUUUUAUCUAUCACCCGUGUCGAUCUGUUUUCCAUGAGGGAAAUUUGGCUGACCUUCAGAGGAUGGAUUACUGAUCUCCCGGGAGCCAAUGGAAGUGACAUCAUUAACGGAUUUUUUUUUUUUAACAGCAAAAAUGGAAGAUAAUUAAAUGCAGCACAGUAGUUGUAAAACAGAUUUCAUUGUGUUAUACAUCACUUCAUAAAGUAAGCAUAGUUCCCAUUCUUCCACAUGAUGCUUUUUGCAGCAUUGUACCACAGAAUAAUGACUCCCUAAUAACUCAGCUGAAAAAUAUUUAGAUCUACUUGCUCUAAGAAUAAGGUCAACAUUAAACAUUCUCAGAUGAAAAGCUUGCUGGAUGAAAUAGUGCACCAUCAGAAUAAAGCAUGCAAUAUAUUUACAGUCAGAUGAAACAAGUGUGUCCAUAAAUCAACCAAAAGACCAUCUCCUCCUUUAGGAAAUACAUGUAUUGCUUAGCCAGUACCAAUAAGUUAACGUCGUGUGAAUAAUUUUGGGUAUUCUGGCCUUCCUGAAUCUCAUACAGCCAAACCAACCAGAAGGCUUCCCCGCUGGGUUGAUGGUGGCUUAUCAUUUGGCAUCUGGAAACUUCUCUUAUUUUGCUGGAUAUGGCUGUCUAGUGGGUGGCUUACUGACUUGCCUAAGAAAAAAUAAGUCAAUCAUUCAGAUUAAUCUGGGAGGCUAAUUCUAAAAUCGGAUUUUAUGAGAAUUGCUAGAUUUGGGGCUAGGUUAACCUCAUUUCCAAAAGAAAAACUCUUACUGGAGAGAAACCAUCAUGUUGGCUCAUUCUAUUGUGUUUAUAUAUUUCACAGUAAAAUGAUUCAGUCUUGCCAGGUUCCAUAUUAGGAGGAUUAGAACUACAUCACUCAAUAUUUUCUUUUGUCUGUUCUAAAAUAUUUAUCAAGUUAAUUUAUGGACUUAUGGAUUUUUUCCAUUCCAGGACUUCAUUUGCGGGGAGCCUUCAGAAAAAACAGGUCACUUGCAGUAAUAUAGAAGGACUAAACUGUGAUUCUGGAGACCCGGGUUUCUCUUUGCUGUUCAACCAGUGUAGUCUUUUGUGUGUGCUGUUAACAGUGAUUUCUGGCUCAGUGAAAUGUGAUAAUGACUUCAUAUUUGUGAAGAGCUAAGUAUCCUGAUAUUUUGAUCUUUUCAAGCAGAUAAUUUCAGGCAGAAAUGAUAUAGCUUGUCUUUUGUUAGGUCUCACUAGGGGAAAAAAAUCGCUCACAAGAGCCUUGCCUACCUCAACAAGAAGUGUCUCUACUUAUACAAAUGGCAUGGUUUCUUUUCUGGUUACUGGGUCACAGGUGGCUCGCCAUUUGCUUUGAGUUUGCAAAUAAAGUACAUCUUGGGUUUCCUUAUCUUUAAACAAGUAAAGAUAAAUUAGGUUAAAGUGGGAGAAGGUUCACAGGAUGAGAACAUCAAUUCAGCUCACAGCAGGUAUGGGUCUAAAGUGCCUCUCUGCAGGAAAGAAAGCCACCACCAGCAGUCCACCUGCUCUCAGGGGAAGGGACCAGGCAUUGGAAAGGCUGCCUCGGGAGAAGUGACUCAACAAAAUCAUAAGCCGCAUGUAGCUUUGUUUCCUCUUUCUAAUACGGGCAUAUUUAUUGCCAUCUCAAUUAUACCUAAUUCAAUUAAUGGAAGAAAAUGUACAUGAAAGAACUCCCAGAAACUAAAAUGGCUAACUGUAGGCAGGAUGUGUGAUUAAUAUUUAGAAUCUAUCAAACCCAGUACUGGCAGGGCUGUUCUCUCCCCAGUACUUACCAGAGAGGGAGUAGAGCUAAUGCACAGCCAUACUCCUCCCCUUUUCAUGAAAUAGUUUCAUCUUUACCUUGAGGUCACGCUACAGAUGAAGAGUAAAAUGAAAGACUGAAUAUGAUCAAUACUAAUUAAAAUGGGGGGGAGGUAUUGAAAAGAGUCUAAAAUUGGCUACAAAUAAUGAGAUACAUUGGACUCUUCGUCAUUAACAAGAUUUAGAAUAGGCUGGGAAAUUUCUCUUUGGAACUGUGAACUGUGACGGGUGUGGUCCAACAGAAAAAACACUGGAGAGUCAUGGAUAACGAAAUACAACUGAGAAGUUACGGAAAGCACACAAUGCCCUAGGGCAAGCUUGUCCAACCUGUGGCCCGCAUGAAGUCCAACACAAAUUUUUAAACUUUCUUAAAACAGUCUGAGAUUUUUUUUUUUUUUUUUUUUUGCAAUUUUCUAUUUUUAUUUUUUUAAGCUCAUCAACUAUGGUUAGUGUUAGUGUGUUUUACAUGUGGCCCAAGAAAAUUCUUCCAAUGCGGUCCAGGGAAGCUAAAAUAUUGGACACCCCUGCCUAGGGGAACUUGUUUCGUCUACUUGGUUAGUUGUCCUAAUUGCAUUUUACCUGCAGUCCAAAGGUUAUUUUAGAUGAUAGAACUGCAAGAACCCCAAACCCAAAGAAAGAAUCGUUGAAGUGGUUGGGAGAGGAGGUCAUUUCUGAGAUACAUUUCCAGGAGAAAUACAAGUUUGAGAGAAGGAGCUGGUAGUUACUGUGUGCAAGUGUUUUUCUUUGAUGGGGAAGGAGUAGUUGGCAAAGGGACAGGAAUCUGUGUGUACAUUUCCUGCUCCUGUUUCCUUAACCACCAUCCUCAGGGCAUCUCUGGCACCUUGGGGUCGGGUAAGUGCUCUCUACUGCCCUCGUUUUAGCUGCCUUUAUCUCGUCUAUAUGGCACUUUCUGCGUGAAAAGACAUUUGCCUUACAGGGAUGAAACUGGACUUGCAAGAGUUUGCUGUAGAAGGUGUUCAAGUCAGGAAGAUGCUCAGAAAUGACCACUGAGAGGGUGGCAUCAGUGCUGACUUAAAAAAAAAAAAAAAAAUCUGACCUCACAUGUUCAUUUUUCCAAAAGUAGAGAGGCUCAGUUUCUAGCCUCUCAAACCAUAAGGAAGUAAUCAAAAUGAGAGUAGAUGGAAAUCAUCUCUUACCUUAAGGGCUCAUGUACAUUUCAGAGAAGCAAUUUCUCUAGCUAUACUUAUUCUCUUAUGGUCUUGUUUAUUACUAUAAACAAGCAAGUUCACUUUAUCAUUUACUUUUUAUUGUGUUGCUUGAAGUACCUAUGUAAUGCAAGUAUGUACUGUACUAAAAUACCUAUAUUUCCAAAUAACAUAUGUGGUGUAGCCCACAGUCUCUGCAGAAGCAUCAUGAGUAACCUGUGCCUUUACACUUUACAAUCCGUUAUUGGUUGCUGUUAAAAGUAUGAUAACAGAUGAAGAAAAAAAAACUAAGUAUGAAUACACUUUUCCAAACACGCACAUACACAGCUUACAAUGGAAUCCCAAUGGAAAUAAGUGACAACAUCUGAUGUAGAAUCUAUAAAAUGUAGACUCUGCAAUAAAAAGCCAAAGGCACGUAAAAAUAUAUUUUAACUUUAAAAAUAACUUAGUUACAGUAAUACUUUGCCUGUGUCUUACCAACAUGUAGCUGACAGUCAAAAUUUUGCAAUAUAGAUAUAAUAUAUAGGGAUAUAUAAGAACUACAAGAAAAUCCCCAAAACCCAUAAAGUUCAAAUGUGAAAACAGAAAAGUUUUAACACUGGAGAAUUCGCUAUGGUGAGCCUAAGCAAUAUAUAGAAAAGAGUCUACAAAAAGGCUUAGGUGUUAAAUAAAUUUUGACUUCCUCUUGCUCAGAAAAUGUCGGAGUGCUAUAAAGUUCCGUGAAGUUCCUUAAUGUGACUCGCUCAGCCCUUCAUAGCUAGUGCCAAUCCUGGCCAAGCCAGAUUUCUUGUGUGUCUGCAAACAAUAUGUGAGCCGAACAUCACCAAUGCCUCCUGAAAAUGGGCUCUGACUCACUUCCUUUUUUUGCCAAGAUAGGUUUUGCUUUGUUGUUUUUUUCUAAAUUGUUUUUGCAAACAGGGCAUAACAGGUAAAAAAAUACUUUGUAAGAAUAUUAUUUUAGAAAACCCAACACAAAACUGCAAAUACAGCUCCGGAAGCCCUUCUCUUCAACUGUGGUUAGUUUGUUUUUGUACCUUUUACCCCAAAGGAAAAAAGUUGGCAUCUUGUUACUUAUUUUUAUCCAUUACAUUCAGCACCUCAUCCAAAAGUGAGGGCCCAAGAUCAAGCUGCAGGGAGAGGAGGGAACCUGUAAGGUCAGAGAGGGACUCCUCUGACUUAGUCUUUCCCUUGAUGAGCUCGCAUGGGGUGGGAUGGUCAAACAUGUCCUCGGCUGGCCAGUCGGGGUACUGUUCGGACAGGCUGGAGGAGUGGCUGUCUCUGCCUUGGCUGGACUGAGAUGCAGAACCGCUGGAGCCCCACGAGGUGUCUCCCUGGUGGACUGUCCCAUUCUCCAACAGACUGCUUUUCUCCUGAGCUUUUUCCUCCAUGACGGGCUCGCAGCUAAGCCUGGGCAGCUUUGCUGGCCCGAAGGACUCCUGUUUGGAAUUAAAUGUCACUGGUGACAAUAAGGGCAACAUGAGAGCUUGGGAUCCUCCAAUGGUCGGGAGGGAGAUGGCAUUUUUGAGCACCGGGGAGGGCGUUUCUGUGAACACAGAGUCCGAGGUGCUGUUGGCCCGGAAGAACUCAUUAUGCCCAGGGAACUGGCCCAGGUGUGCUUUCUCCUGGUUUCCAGGUAAAAGCUCGUAGUUCCCUUGAAGAAAGGAAAUAUCUCCAAAGACAUCGUGCUGGCCCUCUUUGCCAAUGUGGAUGGUGUGGCGAAAGUCUCCAAGCGGGGGACUGAUCAUAUCAGGAGACAGAAUGUCCCUCAGUUUAAAUUUCUUUCCUUUCUUGUUAUUGGCUGCUUUCAGGUAAAUUGGGGUCUUGGCUGGCAUUUUGGAAUUUGAGAAUGUCUAUUUUGCAAGCGGGAGAAAGGGCCACUUUCUUCACAGAUGGUAUAUGUUUCUGAAUCCUUUUUGAUAGGAACUGUCACAUCAUUUUUCUCAAGUGGCUUCAGAAGUGGCUUCGAAAUGAGAUGGGGUCAAAGAGAACCUUCCUGAGGUUACGGCCAAGUGAGGCUUCCUAGAGAGCCAGUUACAUCAUCCAGUCUUGACCACAACCAGGACAAACCUGCAGAAGAAACCAAAGCAGGUUAUAAGCUAAAGACCCUUUUGGGUGCCCUAGGGCCUCCCUUUUCACAAGAGCCUGUAAAUAAUGGCAGGGCCAGUUUCAACUAAUGCUGAACUUAUUGUUUCCCUCCAGUAAGUGGAUAAAAAUUUUCAUCUUAGAGAAAACAGGAAAGAGAAAGACCUAAAAACCCCAUAUCUAUGACACCAGUACUUUUUAGACAUAGCCAUGGGCACAUCUUCUGGACAUGUCUAUGGUUUUAGUCAUUUUCCUCUAAGAAUUGCUGUAAGCAUAGGAUCAGUGAUUUCAGCUCCUUAAAUACAACUGGAUUUGUUUUAAAAUACAUUUUCCUUUUGCUUUGAUGUGCAUACUAGCAACACUAAUAUUUCAUUGUUGAGUUCCAUAUGUACAUAAGUUAAUGCAAUAAAAUGAACAGUCCUAAAGGAAAGGUGCUGGAAUUAUUUAAUAAGUGACAAUAACUAUUAUAUGCUACUGUCCUAAAAAUGUUAGUGGAAUACAUUCUUACAGAUAAGAAAACGGAGAUUCAGGAUAAGCCCUUCCCCUAGAAAGUUACCUUUUCUCAAUAACAUAUAGCCAGUAAAUAAGAGAGCUAGAGUUGUAAUCAGGUUGUGGCAAAGUAUUGGGCUGUCGAGGAUGUCAGGAUUUGAAGUCAUUCUGAGAUGGGAGGAAAUGAACAAAACUGCUUCACUUCAAAGAGAAAACAUUGUGAAUCUCUAUUACAGGCUGGGCCUUCACUUGGGAACACUUCUGAAACAUUACUGAUAAGGCUAUAUCCUCCAUGCAGUAGGCAGAAUUCGAAGGGAGCCCCCAUGAUCUGCCUCCUGGUGUUAAUGCCUUUGUGAGUAGAACCUGUGACUGGCUUCUAAACAAGGGAAUGUGGCAAAGGCAAUAGGUCCCUGAUUAGGUUACAUUAUAGGAGAUUUCAUCUGAGCUGACAAGGGAGAAGACUCCCUGACUCCCUUUGCUGGCUGUGGAGAGGUGAGCAGUUACACUGUGCAAGGGCCUAUGGAAAUGAAAUCUGCCAACAAUGUUGGGGAGCUUGGAAGUAGAUCUUUUCCCCAGUUGAGCCUCUGAUGAGACCACCACCCUGACCCACACUGAAUCAUAACUCAGGGAGAUGCUGGAACUCAGCCCUGCCCAGAUUCCUGACCCACAGAACCUGUGAAAUGGUAAAUGUUGUAAGCCCUCAAGUUUGUGGUCGUUUGUUACCAGUGUAGAAAGCAACACAUCCUCCCUGCACAUACUAUAUGAUAAGAUUAGGAGGGAUGAGCUACAAGGCAUUGGGGUUGUAAUGUGCUCUUUUGCCAAUGAGAUGCUCUUAUCUCUUGAAAAUAAUCCUCCACCUCUGAUGCUGACACAGAGAAGCUAAACCCUUUCCCACUGCAGGAACUUCCCAAAUGGCUCUGCCAUGACCUCUUCCCUCAGGCGCUCCUCCCACUGGCUGCAGAGCCUGCAAAUAAAUACUCCAAGGGCUGGGUGGGUUAGUUGGUGUUUUGAAGGGAGCCACAUUUGCUUGUAGCAGCUGGAGGCUGUCUGCAUCUGCCCCAUAUUUCUUUCCUUUCAGCAAGAGUUUUAAAUUCAUUUACCAGUGGCAGGUGACAAGAACUGUGCUCCACCACCCACUGGCUCAGUAACAGCUAACUCAAUUUGGGAAGCAGCUAGCUCAGCGUGUCAGCAUGCUGGCCAGCAACCCAGGCCGGAGAAGGCUGAGAACAAUGCACUAGAGAGAGCCAGCCCCACUCGGGCUUUGGGUAUGGGGAGGAGGCAGAGAAAGUACGAGGAGGUUUGCAUUCAUGCAGAGUGGGCUGACCAUGGGGCUGCCAGCAAUGACAUGAUCGUGGGUCCUGACACUCGUUCUCAUAGUUUUAGCUCUAAUUUGGGUCUUGUUGUGGUAACAAAAGUUGAAGCCCAUGUUCUUCCUGUUAAAACAUCAGAACUUCCUUCCUGUAUGAGUGUACAAUGCCUAGUCCUGGCCUCGGGCCCCCUGCUGUUCAGAGGUGGCCUCCCUGCCCUUUGGGCACAGUGUGGCUGACUGCCUGCAGGAGCAGCUGGGUGGCCUGAGGAACAGCUGCCCACAGGAGUGGUGUCCUCAGCACACACGGCCAGGAAGGCAGCUGCCAUGGAAAGAUACAGCGUGUCCACCACAACUCAAGGGCAUGCCAGGGCUGCCUGGGGUCAGCUGAUGGAGGCAGGGUUAUGCAAGGCCAGGUCCCAGGGCAGGGGGUUCCAAUUAUUUAAAAAAAAAAAAAAAAAUCGAUCACUUAAGGCCUGGAGUUUGAGGUCAGCCUGGGCAACAUAGCAAGACCCUGUCUCUAUGAAAAAAAAAUUAGCUGGGCAUGGGGGCACCCGCCGGUAGUCCCAGCUACUCAGGAGGCUGAAGCAGGAGGACUGACUGAGUCCAGGAGUUUGAAACCAGCCUGGGCAACAUAAUGGGACCUCAUCUCUACAAAAACUUUCUUAAAAAAUUAGCUGAGAAUGGUAGCACACACCUGCAGUCUUAGCUACUUGGGAGGCUGAGGUGGGAGGACUGGUUGAGCCCAGGAAUUCAAGGCUGCGGAGAGCUAUGAUUGUACCACUGCACUACAGCCUAGCAAGGCCUUGUCUCAAAAAAAAAAAAAAAAAAAAAAAAAAAAAAAAAAAAAUCCCAUGAAAAUGUAGCCAGAGAGCAGUUCCCUGCCACUCUGACUGGAUCAUUCACAUACACCCUUGAAUUAAACAAGGAUUUGGGACAGUGAGGAGGAAGAGCAAAGGGGGAGAAAGUGUGUGCUGCUGAGGGUGCAGGGGAGGGAGGGCCCAGUCGGUAGGCUGGUGGGGGCUGGGCACCCACCAGGGAGCAAGAUGCUCGUCAAGCCCCAGCCUUUGGUCAGUCCUUGCCCAGCCACAGGCACCAGCACCAGGGGCCUCCAACCAGAGGCUCACUCAUCCUGCUUGAAGUGGGGCUUCAUGUCGGUGGCAUGGAGGCAAAGGUUGGAGGGAAGCAGCAAAGAAAAAGGCAAGAAAAGGGUUGGUGGGGAGGCUACCUAAGCUGUAGUGAGAUUCUGGUGAGUAGGAGAUACUGGAGAAGAUACCUUCAGAGGCAUUUUGCUUUCUUUCUACAAAUAUUUACAUCAUAUUUACUGCAUGAUGGGGCAUAGGCUUCUAGGACUAUAGAAAAAAAUAAUUUGAAUUGAAUCUGAAUUGCCAAUCCUAACAGCUCCCAAAUACCCUGAAAGUUAAGAAUUUUGGGCAAAAUGUCAGUUUUACAACUCUAGGUAAGUUGACGUUUGUGCUGCUGGGAAAGUAUCUGGCAGCUCUGAUCUAGUCCUUCUAUUGCAUCUGUUCUCUUCCUCCCCAGCUCAGGGGCAACCAUGAUUGAUCCCAGGAGAGUCAAUCCAACGCUGAUAAUCCAAUGCCCAUAAUUUCUCGAACUGACCACUUCCUUCUCUCUCCUUUCUGAACAUUCUGGGCUAAGUCCAUGCAGCUUGAUCAGUUUCCCCUUCUGCUUCCUGGGCUCACUGCUCUUUCAAAAUCUUUGCCAAUUACUUACUUAGGCAGAAACCUAAUGGGAUAGUUUCUUCCCUAGCAAGAAGUGGCUGCUCCUGGAGAGGGUAUGAGCAUCUCCUGGGUACCAGCAGCACUUGAUACAAGUCGGUAUUUGUUGAGGGCUUCUCUAUGUACCGAGCAUUGUUCCAACCCUUGACAUGGACUAGCUGAGGAAGCCAUGAGGCUGUUACUGUGACUAUCCUCAUUUUACAAAUGGAUCACUACUGACGAACUGAUAUCCAGCCACUCUGCCAAGGCUGCAUGGCUACCAAGCACGAAGCCACAUGGCUGGGCUCUGAGCUUUGAGGUCUUGACAUGAUAUUUAAUGAGCACCCUCCCUGGGAAUUCUGUCUGCUCCCUAAUUAUGAAAGGGGUGCAUUCCAAAGCCUGUUUAAAACACAAAUGUGUGGCAAUGUGCUGGGCUGAUGAGGAUGGGAAACAGGCCCUGCAUACACUGACAGUUGAAGUAUGAACAGGUCCAAACUCAGUAGAGGCAGUGGGGCAAUAUCUAUCAAAACUGCAAAUCAUAUGCCCUCUGACCUCAGAUUGCACUUAUAGGGAUUUACCCAACUCACAGAGAAAUAACAAGGCUGUUCAAACCAGCACAGUUUAUAACAGUCAAGAGUUGGAAACAACCUAAUUGUCCACCUAUGGAGGACUGGUUCAGUUAAGCGUAUCCUUCCAAAUAAAUACUACUCAGAUCUAACAAAGGAUGAAGAAGUGCUUAAUAUGCUCAUCCGAGAAGAGCCCAAAGAUGUACAUCAUCAAAGGAAAAAAAAAGAGGUGCAAAUGCGUGUAUUUAUAUUUGUACUGGCUUAUCUAUAGAGUAUUUCUGGAAACACACAAGUAAUAAUAGUGACUGUCCACAGAGAGGGGAAGUAGAUGGAAGGGGAACAGGGUGGCAAAGAAAUUUCACUAUCCUUUUAUGAUUUUGGAUUUUCAAAUCAUGUUAAUGAACUGGCUAUUUUUUUUUAAAUCACAAAUAUAUAAAUGUGUAUGCAGGGCUCAGAUUAGGCUUUCCUGGAGAGCCAAUUUUAUACAUGGCUGUUAGGUCCUGAAAAGCCUACUAUGAGUUACUGAUCAUAACACAAACAUCAGGAAAAUGUGUCUAAAAGCAGCAUCUGCAAUGGCAGUGUGUGGGUAUAUGAAGACUUCACAAAAGGCCUGAGCCACGUCUCCCCUGACCCUGGCUAUGGGACAGAUCACUUUUUGCUUCUGUGAUCAGGCCUUCACCAAAGAGGCAGCAUGGAUCUGUACUUUGUAAAAGGGAAGAGAUCUCAGAAGAGAAACAUUUGUAGUCGGAAAGGAAAGUGAGAAAAUUCAACAGGUGGGAGAGGAUGCAGGAGGAGCUGCUGGCCAGGGCAUGAGCGAGGAGGGAAGUGCAGGCAGGUGGAAUCGCCUGGGCCCGUGAGGACAGCAACUUGUGCAAGGGUGACUAGUGACACACACAGAUAACCUUUGAUGAUGGAAUGGGCCUAUAUGCCAUGACUUGAAAUCCCAUCCCUCCUCAUCAUUUUAAGAAGACACCUGGGGCCGGGCAUGGUGGCUCAAGCCUGUAAUCCCAGCACUUUGGGAGGCCGAGGCGGGCAGAUCACAAGAUCAGGAGAUAAAGACCAUCCUGGCUAACACGGUGAAACCCCGUCUCUACUAAAAAUACAAAAAAUUAGCCGGGCCUGGUGGCAGGCGCCUGUAGUCCCAGCUACUUGGGAGGCUGAGGCAGGAGAAUGGCAUGAACCCGGGAGGCGGAGCUUGCAGUGAGCCAAGAUCGUGCCACUGCACUCCAGCCUGGGUGACAGAGCAAGACUCCCUCUCAAAAAAAAAAAAAAAAAAAAAAAAAAAGAAAAUAGAAGACACCUGGGUUCCAGGAGACUGCUGGUGAAUGACCAACACAUCAGAACAGUCAGCAUGAGUCAGGGGAACCCCAGGGCUUUGCGUUCUGCCCAGAAGGAAGAAGGAUCUGCUUGGAGGAAGGGAUGCUGGGAAAAGAGAAAAGGAGGAGCUAAACAGGAAAGGCUUACAGGCCGGAAGCGAAUUACCAGACUACAACUAGGGAGCGGGCCCUCCUGGGUGUUCCACAACCCAGAUGAGAGAAUUUUAGCUUUCUGUCUCAGUCAAAACUCUCAACACCAGCAUUAACCUGUGGGCACUGAGCCAUCUGAGGGUGCUGAGCACAUUCACUCGUGUCUGUCCUUUCCUCAUCUUGAACCCCUUUCCUGCAACCAAGGGUCAAGUCAUGUGGUCACCCAGGCUGGAGUGCAGUGGCAUGAUCACAGCUCACUGCAGCAUCGAAACCCUGGGCUCAAGCCAUCCUCCUGCCCCAGCAUCCUGAGUAGCUGAGACUACAGGUGCACAACACCAUUCCCAGCUAAUUAAAAACAAUUUUUUUUUUUUUUAGAACAAGGGGUCUUGCCAUGUUGCCCAGGCUGGUCUUGAACUCCUGGCCUCAAGUGAUCCUCCUGCCUCAGCUUCCCGAGCAGCUAGGCUUACAGAUGAGCCUCACCAUGCCUGGCUCUCUAGUUUUCUUGCAUUUCUCUACUCCCACUAUCUUACCUAAAUCUUAAAAGACAGACAAAGGUUCUUAUAGUUAGCCCUUUCUCAAAAACCUUGACCCUGAAAUUUGAACUUCCCACAAUUAUUCCUGGUUUCUUUCUAGUUCCACAAACUUUCUCCUAGUUCUUGGAUCAUGGUUUGUUCCUCUUUCCCUUCAUAGAUAACACUGGAGAUAACAUUCAUCUCAGAAGUUAGAUUCCUUUAAAAACAAAUGCUCUAGUUCCUGGGGCACUAGAGAGAAAAGAUUUGCCAACAAAAGGGUCCAGCUUGCCAGUCAGUCAUGUGGCAGGUCAGAGAGAACACAUGUGGCAGGCAGACAGGUGGGCACAGUGCUGCUGAGAACGGACAUGCUCCCUUACAGGUUGUGUGAGAAAUCCAAGAGUUUCAAUACACAAAAGGACCGGAGAGGAAGCUACGGCCCUGGUUUUUAUAAGGAAGGAAGAGAGCCGGGUUGCACUAGGCUAGACAAUUCUAGUUUCUUGUGACUGACUGAAGCGUAAAUGACAGUGAUAAUGAUAGAAAUAAUCACAGCAGUAAUAAAUAAUUUGGUUAAGAAAAAAACUGAAGCGGUGCUUUGCUUCAUUUCUUACCAUCUUUUUGGCAAACAGAAUGAUGCUGAAAAUAUCAAAACAGGGCAGCAGCCAGGAGGAAGGGAAAAUCAAGCGGUUUUAAAAAAUGACAGACAGAAAAAUCAGCUCCUAAGUUACUUAGAGUUGAUGCACUGGCAACUUACAGGACUCUGAAAAGAACCAAGGAGUUGGGAUAUUUUUAAAAUUCCAUUUAUUUUAAAGGAAUGUUUGGUUUGCCUACUAAUUGUUUUUAGAUUAAUUCUUAGUGGAGAGAAAAAGUAAAAAAAAAAAAAAAUUGCAUCCUGCAAAACAGGUUGCAGUGUUAAUUUAAAACACACAUGUAUAAAAAUGGGCAGGUGGGUUGAGGGGUGCUACUGCCCCCAGGGACCUGCGGCUCUGUUCUUUUCUCCUCCUUGCAGGAAGUGAGCCUGCAUCCGACUUCCCCUUUCUGGCUCGGUUGUCACAUCCUUCAGGGACAUUCCAGCUUCUGAUCACUUUUCGCUUUGCCUCAGCACAGUCGCACUAUGCGGCCAGUCACGGCACCACUGCACUACUGCACCAUCUGAGCCCCAUGCCAGAGUAUCCAGCGACUCCUCCUGCAUGUUGGAACCAACAGUCCUAGGGGAGGAUGAUGACUCGGCCAAGUACCCUCCGCCGCCUCCCUACCCCCAACCAUCUGUGGGCUAUGUCUCUCUGCUGCCAACCAGAAGAUAAUAAUUCCACUGUGCCAAGCGCCCAGAACAUGAUCCUAGGCUCCACAUUUAGAAGGGAUAAAGGCUACCUGGAACAUGUCCCCGCAUGUUCAGAGGGAGGCAAAUGGGAGGAAGUGAAGGAGCUCGAUUAGGACAUGUGAGAAGAGGCUGAAGGAAUAGAGCAGCUUAAAGAGAACUCAUAGAAAGAGAAAACUAAUCUUAAGGGAUCUGAAGGAUUCAUUUAAUUGUAAUGAAAAGGAAUUAACUUGUUCUGGGAGGCCCUAGAGCUACCAAGCAGAAACUACAAGGAAAGAUUUUGGCUCCUCCAAGUAACAGCUCAGGUUUCUCAAAAGAUGGAAUGGGCUGGGGUGGGGAGGGGACAGCAAGUAUGGCCAUGGGAUGAAGCUCUCACAGAGGGGAGGGCGGUUACCCUGCGCCUCCCUGACAGUGCGUGAAGGGAGGUGUUCACGUUCCCAUUUAUUCUGAGUUUCCUGUAUGGGAACACGAUCACUGCCAAUUUCCUUGUAGUCCCAUGUCACUUUUCCAUAGAAAAACGCACACGGACUUUCCCUUGAAGAAGCUUUCUCUUUGAACACGGCAGUCUUCUUACUAAUAUAGAAAUGACCAGCCAAUCUUUGGGAUCAGAAACACUAAAAUAUUACUACAAUGUGGACGCUCAUGUCAAUCCUUUUACAAACCUCUGUAGGAGUGCUUCUCUGAAUAAUUUUAAAAUUGAAGGGGAAAAAAACCCCAUAGUGUUAGAUUUUCAUUUAAGUUCAAUGCUGAAUUUCUAAGGCGGAAAUCAGUGUAACCAGAAGCACCCAGUAACCCGAAGGGGAUGCUUUUCAUAUUUUCAGUCUGUUUAACUCCACCCAUUUGAGAAGAUAAGAAGAUGCCUUUUCUAUUUUUAGAUUCUUACCCUCUCCCCAUAUCAUCUAAACUGAGGACAUAGCUCUAAGCUUCAAGACUAUGAAACUCUAUUAGCUGGCUCCCCAGCUGCUGAGCUCUGUUAUGCAAAUGAACUUAGCCAGAACGAGCAGGCGGUAUUUUAAAGACCCAUUCAAAGUCUGAUACAUCUCACCUUCCAUUAUUUUAAAGGACUUUCAUUUGUGAUUCAGCUACAGCUUGAAUUUAUUGUUCUUUUACAACCCUGAUUAUAUACAGACCCACAAAUACCAUAUGUGAGACUCAGUGCUAAUUUGUGUACACGUCUCAUUUUUAUGGGAUCUAAUUUGAAAGAUCUCUUAGAAGCAAAAUUGGAAGACAGAAGGUCCACCUCACAUAGCACCAAGUCUGCACUUUUGAACAGAGGCCAUUAGGACCUUUUUUCCUAUAAAAAUGAGUUACUGGGGAAGACUCAAUGUGGACAUAGAACUCUGGCAGUUACAACAAGGCAGGAGGAGGGCAAGUCCUCUCAUGCCUGGUUCAUUUAUCAGGACGUGUUGUACAUGGCACCAGGGCUGGUCAGAAGCACCCAGGCAGGCACUCUAGUUUCAUGGAUGUGAAUCUCUGAUAAGGCCAUUGCUGUGAACUGCUCACGUGUUUCCAUAACUAAUGGAUCUGACUUGGUCUGUGAUGCUGCAAGGACAAUAUCAAUACAGGAAGAGAACUUGACUCUGAAGUUUUCAGCAGUAUUCAGCCAGGAUAUUCAUUCUAAUCUCUGCUCAAAAGCAAGGAACUUGCUCUCAGUUGCUCACAAAAUAUUAAUAUUUAAGUCAGCAAUUAUUCUAUGCAGUACUCCAGUUCUGGUAAUGGUAAUUUCAAAUGAUCCCAAAUAAUAAGCUGACACUGUCCAGAAAUUCAGAUUAUGGUCAUUUAACCCAUACUACCUUGGAGGGCAAAGUUCCUAGCCAUUUGCCUUUAGGCCACAUUCUCAAGUUCUCUGAUGGGGUAAAGGGACAAAUACAGGACUUCCAUGCUAUUCUGCCACCCUGCUAGGGCUGUCUACAAUAAUCCACGUUCCUUGGAUGGGCUGAAACAUGGCUUUUCUGUAUGAUACCAGCACUGGCUAUAUGUGGAAUCUGGUAGUCGUCAUUCUACUCUCAAUCUACUUCCACUACCAACAUCCUUGCGUUAUUUGUAUAUGUGUUACUACAAAUAUAUUUGUUGAAUGAUUUCCCUCUAACUAGGCUGAAAGCUCUUCUGUGGGCAUGAGCUUAUUCAUCUUUUGCCUCCCACAACACAUGGCCCACAGUGAACUUCAAAUUCACAAGUGUUAAAUCCAUAACCCCUGCUAGACUUUCCAUCAUGAGAGCCAGGUUGACUUGCUCCCGGGGGCCAAACCCUAGAGCAAGUCUACAGAGGCUCUCUGGAAAGUGACAAAUCUGAAAUGCUUUGUUCUCUAAAUAAUUUACACCUGUGAAGAGUACUAGCUAGCAUGAGUGCUUUCUGUGGGCCAGGCAGGCAUGUAAUGCUCAGAGCAUACCUCUUAGGAAGCAGUCUUAGAUGAAGCCUGUGUCUCCAGUCAAUCACCCAAAAUGUGGAGGAGCUAGGAUUCCAGCCAUAGCUGCAUUCUGUAGCCACUGCCGAUUUGAUAACUCAAGGACUGCCAACCUGAAGACUAUGUAUCUUGAAGUCUGACAGCACCAAGAGGAAAUGACACACCAAGAGCGCAACACGGAUGAGAGGUGGAGAUGCUAACCUGACCUUGUCAGAAGCCAAAAAUGAGAAGAAGGGUCCUAGACACUGGUCCCUCCAUCUCUAACUCACUAGGACUUUUCAGUAUUUUUGCUAUUGUCAACAAGAAUCUCAAAAGGAAUUUGACUUGUGGUAAACGUCAAAAGAUUUGAAUUGUAAAGUAACAAAGCCCCCCCCCCACCCCCCGCCCCCCGCCAUCCUCGAGGAGAAAAACAAACAUCCUGUUCUUAGAAAAUCGUGUUAAGUGCUGUUCAUUCUUUUCCCAGAGGAAGCCCAUUGCAUGCGACAGUGAACAAUCACAGGCUUUCACUGGGGACAAUAGCUCCCUAGCUUCCUAACUGACACUUCAUUUCCCUCCUAACCUGAAACUAAGAACCUUGUGUUCCCUACAUGGAAAGCUCUCCCACCUUCUUACCAUCAGCCUCUAUUCACAACAUCCUCUGAGACCUGCUCCAGAUGCACUUCCUUCCUGGAGGAAGUCUACUCGAAUGCACCUCACGUAAUCCAACCUUGCUACUGCUUUGCUUAGGGGUUUUCUUAGGGGUUGUGGAGGGCUUGUAUUAUGUGAUUUGUUGUUUUCCUGUUUUGUGGUUUUAAUGCCUGAUAUUUCCAGGUGGCUGGUGAGCUCAAAAAGAAUAAAGUAAGCAAAAGGGCUAUACAUGAGUGUUCCUGUUGGGAAAACUCUCCUCCUUUUUAUGCUGAAUCACUUACAGAGCCUCCUCUUGAGCUGGGGACACAGAAGGCCCUCAAAUCUUACUGAAUAAGCUCUUCUAGUUUUCUUUCUGACCAUCCCUUAAGUCAAGGGUCUACAAGCUACAGGCCGGCCAAAUCCGGCCCCCUGCCUGUUUUUAUAGAUAAAGUUUUAUUAGAACACACCUAUGCCUAUUCAUUUAUGUACUGUCUACAGCUCAGUGGGGUUCUCAACUGAGGGUGAUAUUUGUUCCCUAUGCGAUAUUUGGCAAUGUCUGGGAAUAUUGUGGGUUUUCGUGACUGGGGGUGGUGUGCUCCUGGCAUCUAGUGGGUAGAAGCCAGGAAUGCUGCUAAACAUCCUACAGUGUACAGGACAACUCCCCAAAGCAAAGAAUUAUCUGGCCUCAAAUCUCAGUAGUGCUGAAGUUGAGAAAUCCCAGUAAAGGUGCUUUUGCUCUAUCAGGUCAGAGUUGAGUAGCCUGUGACAGAGACUGUAUGUUGCUCUCAAAGCCCAAAGUAUUAACUGAGCCCUUACAGAAGAAGUCUGAACCCCUGUCUUAAAUGUUGGCAUUUUCAUAGGGUUGGAUGGCUGCUGCCCAUCCCCCACUCCUCAACAAUUCCCCCGGCAAUCACAUACCACCUCUAGGGAUAACUUCCAAGUCAGUACCUUCAACCCACAUGCAUCUACUUAAGUCCAGACCAGUGCUACUCAAAGUGGGUUCAUACAGUCCAUGAUGAGAUAAGAACAGAAGUUGGAAGCAAGAUCUUUUUGACAUUGCCUUAACAUCAAGCAUGUGACCAACAGAUUUUUUUCUUACUGAAUAGGCUAUUGACAAGUUUGGGAGCUGUAUGCUGUUGAGCUUGCAUGGCGGUUGUGUGUGGCCCAAGCUCCAUAUUCCUUGUGCACAGUAGUAUUGUACAAUGGAUUGGAAAUGGAAACAAACAAAAAGACAGUGGCCCUUCCCAGAGAGUUUGAAAAGCAUUGAUUGGCCUUUCCCUUCCCUUAUAUUCCAGACUUCUCUACUUUGCUUCCCUUGUCCCAUAUAAUACUCAUAAACCUUGCCCCAAAUGGGAUUUGCCAUCUUUCUUCCCCCUGCCUGCCUUAGGCAUCUGCCUUCCAAACUAUGCUUUCCUGGUAAAUGGCAGAAGUCACUCAAUUCCAAAACCCAGCUAUCAUCCCAGCACUUCUCCCCGCCUCCAUCUCUACAUCAAGUCCUAUAGUCCUAUCAGUCUGUCUGGACUGUCUCUCCUCAUUCAUCCCUGCUCCAUCAGCCUUACUCCUGGCCCCCAUGAUCUUUCUCCUGCACAAGGACAUUUGCCUUUCACCUACCUCCCUGCCUCCCCGGUCCUUCCACCUUAUCUUCCAAUCUACACCAGAGUGAGGUACCUAGAAUCCUCAUGUAACCUUAUCACUCUCUGCUUUAAAACCUUUCAAGGGUUUUAAGGCUACAGCUUGGAGAUAAGAUAAAAUAGCUUGUGAAGCCCACUUCAGCAAUCUGGGGGGCCUGCCACACUUGCAACUGAAUCUCCUGCCAGUUCCCCAUGGCAUCCUAAGCUCCCAUAGCGUCCUGUGUACACCUCAAACCUAGCAACUAUCACACUGGAUUAUUACCACUACUUAUUUAACUCUUCCCCAAUCAGGCUAUAAUCUGGGAGAGAGAACGGAGAUCUUAUUCAUAGCAGGUAUUGAAAAAAAUGUUGAAUGGAUAAACAAAUGAGAAAGCUUGAAAGACAUUGCUGUGCCUCUUCCUCUUUAACCCUGCCUGCUCUAUUGAAAAUGCAAGAUGGAAUCUAUGAUUCUUACAGAAGAAAACAAACAUGUAACAAGAAGCUGUCUCCUCUUUUCUUGUGGCAAAGGCUUUCAUUUUUCCAUCUGUAAGCCAUUUUAACCUUCCCCUAUCCAUGCAGGGUAAUAAUUUAACAGUGUAUCAAUGCAAGCCAGAGUAAUUCUACAGGACCAUACAGAUCUUUGGCAAAUAUACAGAUAAAAAAUAUAGAUCUUAAGGCAAAUAUUUGUGGACAUGCUGUUUGAAAGAGAUAUGACUCCUAUCCCUGAAUGCAAUGUGCAAAUAGUGUCUUAGGUAAGACUCAAAGAAAAUUUGACAAUACAGUCCUCUGAAUUCAAACUCAGUGACUCUACUUAAAUCAAACUUAAAGAAUGAGGCCCUGGAGAAACAAUGAACUUGCUCUUUUCUCUUUUCAAAAGGAGAUGUGUUAAGGGAGAACUUGGCUCAUUUGGCCUAAAAUGUACAAGGAAACCUCAAGAAACUACAAUGGACAGUCUAUAGAAAAGGGUUGUUUGGAAGAUCAAUGUGUGACUGGCACAGAUCAGAUAUGUGGGGAAAAAUAAACCUAUCAAAACAUUUGCCAAACCAAACCAAAUGAAACACCGACUGUACGGGCCAACGAAACUGCUAUCUCACUGCUGUUCCUGGCCUGAGCGGGGGAAGAGCUGGACCAAAACUAUGAGCCAGCCCUGUAAGACGCAGAAGCCCUGAUACACUGGGUACCAGUUACCUUCAUGUAAAAUGGAGAUAAUCAUCCCAAACUUUAUAAUAACCACAGGUGUUAGAGCUGAGUGUUAAAAUCUACAGUGCUAUGUAAACACAAGGCAUUAUCUUUUCCCCAAAUGAGACCAGACUAUCUACUGAAAUACAGAGUGGAGGGGAAACUAUUCUCAUUGCCAAAAUAAACACUUCUAUUUUCUCCUUAAAUUUCGCCUGUACCACUCAUUAAUAAAAUUGUUGCAGAUGAGGCUAAAAUGGUUCCUAUUGAUCCUGUGGACAGUCUCCACAGUUGGAAGGGAUUCCUACCACCAGCUUGAUUAGAAGUUAAUUCCCCUGUCAAUGGGACAUAGGGCUGGGGCUAUCUUCUCAUUCACACCUACAUGCAUCGGUUAUCUUCAGUUGGGGCUCUUCCAGCCUUAGGAACAAAUGAAACGUCCCGGAGUUGGGAAAAUUACAACAACUGCUAUAUAGGUCAGAUAAAAGUGGUGUUUUCAUACCAACUUGGGAUCUCUUACAGUAGCCCCUGACCUUAAGACAUAAAUAAAUACAAACAAUCUAACAUUUUUUUUCUCCUAAAUUCUCUGUUGAC
rnacentral:lncRNA from 1 species